AGAGGAGCAGCUGGAGGUUCUUGAUGAUGAUGAGCUCGCCUUGAUCACGAGGCGAUUCAUGCGCUUCAACGACAACCGCAAGAACAGGCGAAGGAACAACAACAACUGCUUCGAUUGUGGCAAGCCAGGCCACUUUGCCGCCGACUGCCCCAACAAAAACAAAACCAAGAGCAAGUACAACUACAACAAGCACAAGAACAAGGACGGCACCAAGAAGAAGAAGAAGUACACCGACCGUGAGAAGAAGGAGUAUCGCAAGAAGGCCAAAGCACGUGCCUUCAUCGCCUCCCUCAGCGACGUCGACUCCGACACCGACGACCACACUGACUCAAGCUCAAGCGAGGAGGAUGACGACCGCAAGGCAAAGAAGAAGGACGACAAGAACUUCAAUGGCCUCUGCUUCUACUCCGACAAGAACCGCGACGGGUACUGUGUCAUGGCUCUCAACUCCAAGAAGGAUGACAAGGAAAGUGACUCCGACACAGAAACAGAGGUAAAGCCUACUCCUGAACAACUUGCUCUAGAAGUAGAAGAACUUAAUGAUUGCCUAAUCAAUCAAGAUAAACUGCUUAAGAAGGCUGCUAAAGAGCGAGUUGAGCUUAAGGCUAAGUUAGAAAGUGCCUUGAUUGAGAUAGACAUGCUUAAAUCUGCUUCUACUGUUUCUGAUGUUGUUGAGUGUGAUGAAUGUGGUGUUCAUAUGGCUAGUCUUGCAUCUUUACAAUCUAAGCAUGCUUUGUUGGUAGAUGAAUAGGAUUUGACUAGGGCUGCUUUAGAUGAGGUCAAGAAUAGGCCUGUUUUGCUUGGUGCAUGUAAGUCUUGCCCUGCUUUGCAAGUUCAGUUGGAUGAUGCAUGUGCUAAGCUUAGUGCUUUAGAGAAGUCUGAGUUUAUUGCUAGAUCUAAACUUCCUAAAUGCACUGUUUGUCCUGAACUCAAGCUUAAUUUGCAACAUGUUGAGGAUGAAAACUCCUACUUGCGCACUGUUCUUAGUUGGGUGUCAAGUAGGGAACCUCAGCUAGGCAUGAUGAUUCAGGAGUUCAAAAGGGCUGAUAGUUUUGGGCUUGGGUCGGUUAUGAAGGGAUGUAUUUUUAAUGGGUUGCACAAGUUCUUUGAUGGGUUGUGUGAGAAGGUGGGUCAAAACAGUGGUGAGAGAAAGAAACCAAGCUACAAUCAGUGUGAGCCACCAAUUGACUACACCCCUCGAGAGUCACCCACUAAAAAUAGAGAGCAACCCAAUCCAGCUUGUGAGCAAAACUUGUCUGAGUGUGUGAGAGAUGGAAUUUUCAUUGAGACACCACCUAAAGCACCCAAGAAAGCCAUUUGGGUCGAAAAGUCAAACCACCUCAAGAACAAAUUUGACACACUUCCAGAUAUUGCUCCUAAGAAACCUCCACCAAAACCUCAAGACAAGCCACAACCUAGAGUGAAUCCUCAGCCAAAACAGCCUGCUAGAUUCCACUGUGAGUAUUGCAAGAGAUAGGGUCACCUUGAGGAGUUUUGCUUUCGCAAGAAGAAGGCUUUGAGGCGUGAGCGUGAGUGGGGCAACAGGGACAUGUACCACCCUUCUCAUGGUGUACAUGCGCCUAGAGCAGCUCCUUCACCUCGUCGUGUGGAUAGUGUGCGUUUUGCUCCUUCGCAUGUUUUUGCUAGGCAUGCUCCUCGCCAUGAUCAAUAUGGCCCAGGACAAUAUGGUCGUGGCUUUGAGUCUUGGAGCUACAACGGACCAUAUUUUCCCCCUAGCGUUGGCCGUAGUCCUCCUGUGAGACGAGAGAUGGUUGAUUUUGAUAACCCCACUCUUGAGCAAAUGGUUCGACACUGGUAUUCUACUUGUUUUUCUAACCCCAGUGUUGAGUCAUUUGCUCAUCCUUGGUCUCCCUUUGUUUGAGCAGGUCGGAGGCCUGGAGAACACGUGGCUUAUUGAUUCCAGUUGCACUCGACACAUGACCGAUGAUCACAGAUGGUUCUCCAGCCUCACCCCGGUGAUGACCAAGGAGUACAUCACUUUCGGGGAUAAUAGCAAAGGUAAGGUGUUGUCUGAAGGUGUUAUCAAGGUGAGUGAGAAUUUCAUGCUCAAGCGAGUUGCUCUAGUUGAUUCUCUUGGUUUCAAUUUGCUCUCUGUGUCGCAACUGCUUGAUGAUGGUUUUGAGGUCCGUUUUAAGCAAGGGACCUCAAGGAUUUUAGACUCUCGAGGCGAUCUUGUGUGUAUGAUCGUCCCCGAGGGUCAAGUGUUUCGAGUUGAUUUUUCCAAGUCAUUUGGUCUCUCUCGGUGUUUAGUGGCUGGCUCAUCUUCUGAACUUUGGAAAUGGCAUAGGAGAUUGGGUCAUUUGAGCUUUGAUUUGCUUUCCCGCUUGAGUACUUUGGAUCUUAUUCGUGGUUUGCCCAAAUUAAAGUUUGAAAAAGAUCUUGUUUGUGCUCCCUGUCGACAUGGGAAGAUGGUUGCUGCUUCCCAUCCACCUGUGAAUCAGGUGAUGACUGAACAUCCAGGCGAGCUGUUGCAUAUGGACACUGUUGGUCCAGCUCGUGUUUGUUCAGCCGGUGGGAAGUGGUAUGUGCUUGUGAUCGUUGAUGAUUUUUUGAGGUAUUCAUGGGUUUUCUUCAUGGAAUCUAAGGAUGAGGCAUUUACUUUUGUUCGAGAUUUGAUCUUGAGUUUGAGAAACGAGCGACCAAAAGAUGCCAUGAGAGCUAUCCGCAGUGACAAUGGCACAGAAUUCAAGAACGCUCGUUUUAAAGCCUUUUGCAAUGAUCUUGGUCUUGAACACCAGUUUUCAUCGCCUUAUGUCCCUCCUCAGAAUGGUGUUGUUGAACGGAAGAAUCGGACCCUUUGUGAAAUGGCUAGGACGAUGCUUGAUGAGCAUAGGACUCCUAGAAAAUUUUGGGCCGAAGCCGUCAACACUGCUUGCUAUGUGUCCAAUCGAAUCUUUUUGCGAGCUUUCCUGAAGAAAACUUCUUAUGAGCUGAUGCAUCGACGUUCCCCCAAAGUGAGUCACCUGAGGGUGUUUGGCUGCAAGUGUUUCAUUCUCAAGCAAGGAAAUUUGGAUAAAUUUGAGUCUCGUUCUACGGAUGGGAUUUUUCUUGGUUAUGCUUCUCAUAGUCGUGCUUAUCGUGUGCUUAACCUUGAAACUAACCGGAUCGUGGAAACUUGUGAGAUUACAUUCGAUGAAACUAUGCCUUGCACAACUCCUGUCUUUGAAGUUGCAGGUGAACAUGAAAUGGGGCAAAGCAUAUUUGAGGAAGAGGAAGAGCGUGUAGAUGGUGGUGAGGAAGAGGAUGAUGAGAUUGACCGAGCUCCAGCUGUUGCACCUGUACCUUCUACUUCGACUACGAGAGUUGAUGGCCCUACCUCUACUUCCACUACUUCAAGCCAUCAACCAGUACCACUACAGGAUGAAGAAGAAGAAGAUCAGAGUGAUCCAGCUGCUGUUGAGGGGGAGGCGACUUCAGAGCGAGAGGCUCCACGGCACAUUCAGCGUCGUCAUCCUCCACAACAGAUGAUCAGUAACUUACAUGAACGCACCACUAGGCACAGCUCUAGGCAGAUUUCACACUUUGCACAUUCUGCAUUUGUUGCCUCUUUCAAACCCCGAGAUAUUGGACAUGCUUUAUCUGAUUCAAAUUGGGUUAAUGCCAUGCAUGAGGAGUUGGAGAACUUUGAGCGAAACAGGGUUUGGGUUUUAGUUGAACCACCUCCAAAUUGCUAUUCUAUAGGAACAAAAUGGGUUUUCAAUAACAAACAAGGUGAGGAUGGGUUGAUUGUGAGAAACAAAGCGAGGUUGGUUGCCCGAGGUUUUAGCCAAAAAGAGGGGAUAGAUUAUGAGGAAACCUUUGCCCCUGUUGCCCGUUUGGAAGCAAUUAGAAUCCUUCUAGCCUUCUGUGUGGCUAAAGGUUUUAAGCUCUUCCAAAUGGAUGUGAAAAGUGCCUUCCUAAAUGGUUUCAUAGAGGAGGAAGUGUAUGUGAAACAACCCCCUGGUUUUGAGAGUCCUAAAUAUCCUGAUCGUGUUUUCAAACUCCAGAAAGCUCUCUAUGGCCUAAAACAAGCACCCCGAGCAUGGUAUGCUAAAUUGAAAUCCUUUUUGAUUGGUAAUGGGUUUGAAAUGGGAUCAGUUGAUAAAACACUCUUUCUCCUCAGGCAAGGCAAUGGCUUAUUGAUUGUUCAGAUAUACGUGGAUGAUAUUAUCUUUCGUGGUUCUUCUCAUGCUUUGGUUGCCAAGUUUGCAGAUGACAUGAGCAGGGAGUUUGAGAUGUCGAUGAUGGGUGAGUUGACCUUCUUCCUCGGGCUACAGAUCAAGCAAAGCAAGGAAGGAACCUUCGUGCACCAAGGGAAGUACACGAAGGACGUGUUGAGGAAGUUUGACAUGGCUGAUGCUAAGCCACUCUCCACACCAAUGGGUACGACGACGGCACUAGAUGCGGAUGAAGAUGGCGAACCGUUGGACCAGAAGAAGUACAGAAGUAUGAUAGGCUCCCUCUUGUACCUGACGGCAACGAGGUCGGACAUACACUUCGCCGUGUGUCUGUGCGCUCAUUUUCAGGCUUCACCGAGGACAUCUCACCGUCAAGCAGUGAAGAGGAUCAUGAGGUAUCUCCGCUUUACCCCUGAGUUCGGUUUGUGGUAUUCUGCCUCCUCGACACUCACGCUCCGGGGAUACUCCGAUGCGGACUUUGCUGGGUGUCGCUUGGAUCGCAAGUCUACCUCGGGUACUUGCCAGUUUCUCGGUUCGUCUUUGGUCUCUUGGUCUUCUCGCAAACAAUCUAGUGUUGCUCAGUCUACCACCGAAGCUGAGUAUGUUGCUGCUGCUAGCUGUUGUUCUCAGCUGCUUUGGAUGAUUUCCACUUUGAGAGACUUUGGUUUGGAUUUUACUCGUGUACCUCUUCUUUGUGACAGCACGAGUGCCAUUAGUGUAGCCAAGAACCCCGUUCUUCACUCAAAAACUAAAUACAUUGAUGUGAGAUAUCAUUUUCUGAGAGAUCAUGUUGAGAAAGGGGAUAUUGACCUUGGCUAUGUUGCUACCCAAAACCAACUCGCGGACAUUUUCACCAAACCCCUGGAUCAAGCCACUUUUGCUUGUUUGCGGGGGGAGUUGGGUGUUUGCUUUCCUUUCUGAGUUGGGUUUUUGGAGCUUCUCUUGUAUUAUAUUUAUAUCAUUUUUGUACAAAACAUGGUAGGAUAGCCACUUUUUCAUGAUAGCUUUGAGUUCUUCAUGUAUAUCUUAUCAUGCUAUUUUUGUGAUAUAUUGUGGUGGAUGAUACAUAUGAACAUCAUGUCAUGCUUUACCUUAGUUCACAUUUGGGUAUGGCAUGUUGUUCAUCUGUAUCAUUUUAGCUUAGUUUCCAUGCAUUUUGUAUCAUAUUGCAUUUUGUAUCAUGUUGCACUAGAUGAGCUUCUCCUAUAUAUCUUGUGUACUCCCUUAUGCUACUUGUGAGCUAGUGCUGUGGUUGGUGAUUUUGAUGCAAUGUGCAGUUAUGCUCUUGAUGAUAUUGUACACUUGUUGAGAUAACUGUUUUUGAAAUUCAAUGCUCAAUUCUACUCUAUUAACUUGCUUAUCACCCAUGAGUAGAUGCUUGGUUAUGGUUAGCCCUUGGUUGAAUACUGGUUCCAUAUCUAGCUUAUGUUUGGAAUCCGUGUUCUUUUCAAUUGGGUCAAAGAUCUAGGUAUCAUUGCAAAUGUUUAGCCCAUGAUGCACCCCUUGGGGAAGCAUGGCUUCUUUGUGCCGCAAAGGCACUUCAUGUAUUUUGCUUUGUGUGAAUACUGAAAAGAAAUAUGCUGAAAACUUCAUAAAUUCACCAAGUUUUUGUGCUUAAUGUGAUAUUAUUGCUUGCUUAGUUGUUACAAGAUGUCUACCAAAAGAAGUAGACACUUACUUUCAACAAGCUUUAAACAUGACUUGGGAUGCAUAUGUGGGUGUUUGCAAUGAUCUCUUGUUGAGAAUGGAUUUUCCUAGUAUGAGCUCUUGAUGGACUAGUCUAUUCUUGCUUGGGUGAUUCUUAACUAGGUGAAUGCUCAUGUGGUGAUCUUUUUAUACAUUGCUAAAACUUGAUGCUUGCUUCACCUCCACUGUUGUAACUUGAUAUCAUCUUGUUGGCGAUGCUAUUGUUUCUUAUGAUCUAUCAAGCUUUAUCUCCCUAGUAGCCUUUGAGAGUGCAUUGUGAUAUAUUUGAGAAGCUUUUUAGGUUCUGCAUUUCCAUGGCAUGCACUUUGUGCUUUCAUGCUUUUCUUGAUGAUUGCAUUGUCAACAAGGGGGAGAGAAAUCUACACAAACUCUUUCAUCUAUCAAGGGGGAGACUUUGCAUAUAUGCAUGAUUUCAGGGGGAGUGCAUGAUUUCAGGGGGAGUGCAUAUGUUCAGGGGGAGUAUUUAUGCUUGUUAUGCUCUUAUGCCCUUGUACCGGUCGCGUUGAGCUGUUUACCUCUUCUUGAGGAGCCGGUUUUUGAUUUGAGUUUGGAUUUUCAUGUGAUUGGUGUUGAGCCCGUUUUGCAGGGAAGCAGCGCUACACUCGCUGCCAGGCUGGCCUGAUGCAGUAGACGCAGCAGCCCGACAGUGCGCGACACGGCCCAGGCAGUAGUGGAGCAUUUGCGGCCCAGCAGUGCUAGCGACAGCAGGCCGCCCAUCAGCUGGCCUGAAGCCCAUCGGCGAGCACCUGCAGGUGAGCUAGUAGGCUCAGGAGCAAGUAAGUGACCAACGGCCCACACCAACAAGUCAUCGCAGGACCAGGCCUUCAAGAAAAUGAACAGCAGGUGCACGCAGCCCAAUAGCACAAGUCCAAGUGUAGCUAGUCGUGCAAACCAGUGAGCUAAUUCCUUUGUCUUUUGUUAAUUCCUUGCAAUAAUUAGUUCUCUAUUAAUUCCUUCACUUAGCUAAAUUAAUCUGUGUCCCCUUAUUUAGCUACUUGUUUUUAUCUUACUAAUCAUGCGUAGUUUAUUACUCAUCCUUUGAUGCCUAGAUUAGUAAGUGGGUAGUAGUAUCUUUGCUUUGUCUCAUUUGUGCAAAUUUGAUAGAAUCAAUUCAUGCUAUGUUUCCGCUGUGAUUUAAGCGUUUCUUAUCGUUCCUAGGGUGAGCUUGUCACGAGUUGACUUGCGUCAUCUUGACGAUAAAACGCGCGGUGUGGUGUGGGGUUGUAUUUGGAACAUAGGCCUUGUUCUCGUUGAGAAUUUUUAUAGGCUCCCAUUCACCCCCCCUCUGGUCGCCCUUUCGGUCCUUCAAAGACAUAGUCUGUAUUUUCAAAAGCGUGCGUACAGGACCAACUUGAUGUCAAAGGUCAAGGUGUUAUCUACACUAAAAUCCAGAAUUUUUUGAACUGAUAUCCAGGGGCGUUUGGGCUGGCUUCUCAUGAAAUGGCUUCACCGGUGUCCAGUAAAGCUGAAAAAACUGGCUUCAUCUAUUUUAUCGGAUUUGCAAAAUUGCUUCAUGAUGCAUUGCCUCUAUUUGCAGAAAACAGGUGAAGCUAGAAUUGGUUUAAACUCUUCCAAAAUAGACUAAGGUAGACACGGCAGCCUUCACUGAUUGGAUGAAAAAACAAUAUACUAAGAAUAAGCAAACAUAUAUGGCACCAAUAAAACUCUAGUAUCAGUAUAUAUAUAUAAACUCUUUCUAAACUUUCAUCCAUGUGGCUUUGCGAAAAUAUGCGGAAUGGCUGAUCCCCAAAGCAUAAGACGCCAAAACCAUCAUGUUGUUACUCUUCUCUCCAUCGAACAAGCACCAUAAGUGCAGUAAGUUCCCUUCAAGAUCAUCUAAAUACAAAUAGUUAACUUUUUCUUUAUCAUACACCAUACCAUUUCUACUUAAUCAUAAUGCCCAAUAAUAUGGAGCACUGGUCCAACUAAAGUUUGUUUGAGAAUUAGGAUUUGAUCCUCAUCCCUCCCUUAUAGCAAAGAUUCAACCAUAUUAGCAAUGCUUCUUGUAGAUUGUUUUGUAAAUCUAAGGCUAUACGACUAUUUUCCAGAUAAACUUCACAAAAUAACAUUUAGGAAAAAUGGUGUUAGGAAAUCAUAUUGUGUUAAAUAAUAACAUUUCCACAUUAAAUUAUCUUUAGUUUGGAAGGGUGCAUGGAUCUUUUCUACGGUACUCAGUAGUUAAAAAACAUUUCUAGUCGUGGUUGGCAGGCCAUUAUUUCUAGUGGCCGAUACAGAUCACCAGCAGCUCAGCGUCACAAGGAAUCGUCCAUUUCCAGUCAGGUAAAAAACCGCUAGCGGAGAUGUUUUCUUCUGGAUGUUCUUUAUAUAGUGGCUAGUACAAACCAAUUAUGCAUAUGCAUUGGGAGUAUUCUUAAGAGGACUUCCACUACAAAUCAGCUGUCACUGGCAGAGAACUCACCUUUACUCCCGAUUGGUAGGGUGCAUAUCUCCCGAAAAUCCAUCCGGGAUAAACUAAUCGAGACAAAACGGGGGUCUUUAGUCCCAGGUCCUUCAACCGGGAGUAAAGCCACCCCUUAGUCCCGGACCAACCGGGACUAAAGGGUGCCCCUUUAGUCCCGGUUGGGUUUCCCAACUAGAACCAAAGUCCUACUUAAAUUUCAGGCGCGCGCCAUGCAGGCGCCUGCAUGGCGCCUGUAAUUUCAUGCAUCACGUACGUACCCCGAUCCUUUUGUUAACCUUUAGUAGUUGAGACUUUUUUUUAUAAUGAAAUCAAACUAGUAUUUAAAAGAAUGAAAUUAGUAAUUAUACAAUUACUAUAUAUAUACACAAUUAGUAGUAUAUAUAUACAAUUCUUAGCAUACGAUACAAAUCGAUCCUAGCGCGUAUUAUAUAUACAAAUCAAACUAUAUAUCUACAAUCUUCCCGUCGAGGUGUUGCUGGGUGUGUCCAAAUUUCGUUCAUCGUAAUAAAAUUCUCCUUAUGGAUUUACCACCUCGUCCAUUAGGAAUCCAUGAAACCUUCACAUAUUGCCGCUACUCUUUCCUUCUUCAAGAGUCCUUGUUGAAUAUUUAACAUCUAUAAUUUAGAAAUAUGUGAAUGUUACACGAACAAUUAAAUAUAAGGAGUUAGAAAAUAAUUAACUAUUAAUAGUUUUAUUUUACAUUGUGCGGCGUCAUCUUUGUCCCUUGGGUCCCCUAAAACUGUGCAUGUGCUCACAGAUGUAGUAGCCACAUAGAUUAUUCCCGGGUUCCUGUCUUAAGCACUUCAGUGGGGAAAAAAAUAAGUUAUGAAAUAUUCGUGUUAUACAAUGUACAAAAUGUGCAGACUUCAUACGUACCGAGAAGUCUGUGUUCCAUGUAAGUUUUUCUUUGAAUGGACCUUUGUGUGUCCUCAUGAAUUGUCUCCAUGCGCUGCGGAUUAGUAUAAUGAAUGAUAUAUUGUAACCGGGAUAAAAUUUAGGAAACAAACUUUUGCAUAGUGAUAAAGGUCCAAAAUUAUUACAAGCCUAGCAUGUCUUGCAUGUCUCGGUACUCCACCGGAUCUUUCCUCAACGAAUCAAAGAUAGCGAUGUGGCUUCUUUCAGGCUCAAUUAUAAUGAGGAUCCAGUGGAACUUGCAUACAUAAAUAUUCAUACAUAUUAGAGUUAGCUAACAUUAAUCAGGUAAGGAAAAAGAAAAUGAAAGUAGACGGUAUACACACACUUACUUGAAGUUGUAUGGAAGUAGUAUGAAAUCCUUGAAUUUUUGUUUGUCUAGGAAAUUAUAUACUUCCACCAAGAUUUUUUUCGACGAUACCUAUAUCUAUUUUUGGUUAACUAUGGAUGGAUCCAUGAAGCCAAUAUGGAGGUACGCUUCUCGUCAGCAUGCCGAAUUAGCAUCCUACAUAAAAUGGAAGAUGAAGUUAGUACGGUGACGCACGCAAAAAAAAAUAAUGAUAUGAGCCAAAAUUUACAUGUAGAUAAACGGACACUUACAAAACCUAAGAGAUGAGCAGAGAGACGUCCAGGGCAUCAUGAUGAUACACUUUGUAUAUAUCCUUGAAUUCUAGCCACAAAACUUUCUCGCCUUCACCGUAAAAAUCUAUCAGUUUUACCUUAAGGCCGAACAUCUCCCUCGAGUCGGCGGACACCUUCAUGUACCAUUGAUUUAAUUCGUACAUCUUUGUUGAUAGCUUCCGCACCAACUCAGGCCUUACUAGAGACUUGCCUAGCUCAAAGGUCCAUCUCGGUUCAACUGGCGGUGCAGCUGGCGGCUCAACUUGCCCUAAACAUUCAUCAAGUCACAUUCCUAUUUCUUCCAUGAAUUUCAAUACUUGUGCUUGUUGAUCCAAGGGCAUUGCUGCUAUCUUUUCAGCAUUUUUUUUUGGUAGAUGCCCGAGGUCAGGGACAGCACCACUGGAAGAUGACUUCCUUUCCUUUUGUCCCUCUUAUCAGCCUUGACUAAAGCCCGUUCAUAGUUUGAUAGUAGUGGUAUCCUCUUCUUGGCUCCUUCUUCCAUCCUGAUAAAAAAAUUUAAUUCUCUUCGAUUUACUGGCGGUGGCUCCAUCUCCCAUACUUUUUUUUCUUCGACUUAUUUUUUGAACCACUCACUGGCCUCUGCUUGGAUUUUAGCCCACUGUUCCGCAUGAGUCAUUGCCUCCCAGUGUUCCUUACGAGUCACUUCAAGCUCCUUUCUUUUCUUCUUUCUCUGUCUUGGCUUGGGAAGCAGUGGUCAUGACUUCUUAAGUGGUGUUGCAGGUUCCUUCCUCGGGGCUACUCUUAGUCCCAGCGACGGUGAUCAAGGAGGGGUGUUAUUGUCGUCGUCACUCCCACCACCAGGAUGUGGUGGAAAUGGAGACCUUGAUCGAGCAGGAAGCGAUGGUCCUGGAGCAGGUUGUGCAGGAGAUGAUGGUCUUGAGCUUUGAGAAGAAGGUCGCUGCUGGGGAUCUGCGGGGAGCGGUCUUGAGCUCUGAGGAGAUGGCUCCGUGCCGGGAAUGAUGAUGUAGCGUUUACGCCAUAUUAUGAUCCCAUGAAGCACAUCUCCUAGUGUCCUUUCCCCGUCACCUCCCGGGAGGACGAGCUCUAGGCCUUCAUAUUGGCUAUCAACAAGCUGCUCUAUGCCGACGCUGGCGUAGCCAGGUGGAAUCUCCAUGCCAUGGCUUGUCUGCACUACCAGGAUUGGUAAGGCACUCACAUACACCACCUGCACAUAUAGCAGAAGUAAAUAAGUUAUUAAACUCCGAUCCCGAGGCAUGGAUCAAUUGAGAAGAUUGCAUAAAUAUUAUGUAUAAGUAUACCUUAAUAGUAAUGUUGCCGAUCGGUGUAUGCAGCUCACAUGAGGUGCGUUGUGUGAUGACAUCCACAAUGAACCGUUACUCCUCCACGGGUAAUCUUGGCGGCUGCGCAUCGGGGAGCCCUGUAGAAGCACAACUGCUCCCGAGGCAUUGAGAAGGGCUGGCGAAGCUUGGAUUUGGCAAUGUUCCGGAUUGGGCCAACUUCGCAACUGCGUGGGCUACUCGACGAUUGAUUUCCUCCAACAUUCUUACUUCUUGUGAAUGCACUUUGGAUUCUAGCAUCUGCCGCCAGCUCUCCUCGAUUUGUUCCUUUCUUCGCUUGCGGCUUCUGUACAAUGCACUGUUGCCUCGGAAAGCAAACUUCCACGGAAUGACCCCAAACCCUCGGCAAUGUCCUGGGUGCUCGGGAUUACCGAGGGACAAUGUGAGCUCAUCAUUCUCUCGGUCCACCUUCAACCUCCUAGCCUUAGAAUCUUCAAUAUUCUUGAUAAGCCUUUUGGUCUUCUGACGUAUUGUCUCAUUGAAUAUCAACAUCCCAUCCUCUUGGCUCAGGGAGCCUCCAUGAGUGUAAUACCAAUUUUUUGAUCGUUCAGGCCAUUCAAUAGUUGUUGGUACGAUACCUCGAUCGAUCAGGUCCUGUUCCAUCUUCUUCCAUCUGGGAAUUGCUGUGCCAUAACCACCUCGCCCUAGACGAUGAUGAUACUCCUUCUAACCAGAAUUUGUAGUGUUGGUCUGGAUCUUUUUCACACCAUUUUCUCUCUUCUUGUAUUCGACAAAUGCCUCCCAGUGGUUCCUCAACUUUAGCCACACAUCGAAAUCUGGAGUUCGGCCCUUCUUAAGGUAGUUGGCAUCCAGCAUCUUCUUGAAUGUCUGGAAUUGUGUAGCCAUCUUCAACGUCCACGCUUUCACAUCCUUUUCAAUAUAUCCUUCGGGAAAUGUGAAAUGUCUCUUGACAUCUUCCCACAACAUAUUCUUUUGUGUAUCCGGGAGCGCGUACAGAUUAGUGCUUUUGUCCUUCCAUUCCCUGAUGCUGAUGGGCACGUUGUCCCUUACGAUUGCCCCGAUCUGGCUCACGUACUUCUUUGCUACUUUUUCAGGAGCAACCGGCCUGCCCUCUUAUGUGACUUCCGUGAUGACAAGCCUCUCAUCCAUCAUCCUUGUACGACCUUGGGGCUUCUGAUGUUUUGUCGAUCCAGAGGGCUAAUAGUUCAAGAUUCGUUAAUUAGUAUAUAGUAAUAAUGAUGAGGUAAAACAAUGGAAGUUAUAUAUACCUCACUGAAACCUUCCACCAUAGUAAGGUUUUGCUGGGCCUCAGGCUCUUUGCCAUCAUCGGAACCUUCCGCCACGGCAAGGUUUUGCUGGGGCUCGGGCUCUUCAUUGCCAUAGCCGGACAUGUUGAGGAACAUAUCCGCCUGGGUACCCUCUUCAUCGUUGUACGAUAUGGGAAGGUUGGAGCCACUACCAUCACCAGCAAUAAUCUGUCCAUUAGAUACCUUGCAUUCUCAUCGUCUGCCAUCUCAACUACUGCUUGAAACGUACAUGAAAUCAUACAUGACAGUCAUGAAUCAUAGAACAACCAUAAAAUAGGCAACUCACACGAAAUGAAACUUAAAUGAAAUCGCCUUAGUUACAUGUACGUUAAGGUAUAUACAUGAAAUCAUAGAAUAACAUGAAUCCCACAAAGUCCAAAAUGUUUAUACAAAUUUCUACUAGUAAUUUUUAAGAAUAUCUAUCAAAUUUAUACAAAUCUCUACAAAUUUAUUGGAAUUUCUAAAAAAUUUCUACUAAUUCCUACUAAUUUUAAGAAUUCCUACCAAAAUUAUUCUAAUUUCUAAAUAAGAAUUUCUACCAAAUUUGUACAAAUUUCUACAAAUUUAUUGGAAUUUCUAGAAAAUUUCUACUAAUUCCUACUAAUUUUAAGAAUUCUUACAAAAUUUCUUCUAAAUUCUAAGUAUUUCUACUAAAUUUCUACAAAUUACUAGUUAUACUGAGUUUCAACUAAUUUCCUAUUGAUUUUUUACUGAUCUACUGAUUUUCUACUAGUAUCUAUUGAUUUUCUAACUAAAAAAAUAAAAAGGGCCAUUUGUUCCUGGCAAUAGUGCCGGCGAGGAUAGGCGGUGGAUAGCUACUGGGGCGACGAGGCCGUACAGCCGCCGAGGCAGCGGGACGGCGGCGGCCGGGGUAGCGGAGUGGCAAUGUGCAGGCCGGGGCAGCGGAUGCUGGCGGAGGCGGGGAUAGAACAAGGUGGCCGCGGCGACGAGGGGCAGAGGCGGCGACGAGGGACGGAAGUGGCGCGACGGACGAGGACGGUGGUGAUGGAGGAGGUGGCGUUGAUGGAGGCGGCGACGAGGACGGAGGUAGCGACGAGGCGGCGCGACGUAGGCGGCAGCGACAAGCUCGAGGGGGCGCGACGGAGGAGGAGGCGGGUCGGGACGAUGGAGGAGGAGGCGGUCCGGGCGCGGGAGAGGCGGCCGGGGAAGCGGGACAACGGCGGCCGGGGCAAUGGGCGGCCGGCGAGGGAGGCGGACGGGUGGCGACGGAGCAGGCGGGAGGGCGUGGAUCUUGGCGGCGGUGAAAAUUUUGCCUAAUUGUAACUGGCGUGGGGCCACCCUUUUUAUCCCGGUUGCUAUUGGCACUCGGGACAAAAGGGCCUUUUGUCCCGGUUGGUGUUGGCACCCUGGAAAAAAGGGCCUUUUCCCACACUUUUAUCUCCCGCCUAUUUUUUAGAAAUGAAUUUUAUUUAUGUUUUCACUGCAUUUCAGGAUGCAAAAAUAAAAAACUUUACAUAUUUUGAACAUGGAAAAAUAUAUUAAAUUAGCAAGUAUAUUGACAAUAAGUGUGAAUGAGUCAUGAAUUCAAUACCAAUUCUUUUAGCUUCUAAAAUAAUUAUUUUACUGCAUCGCUAUGAUCAAGAAAUUAUUCAAUUAAAUAAUUUCAACGCGAAAAAUUCAAUUUAUGUAUGUGGUUGACAUUGUUCAUGUUUAUCUAAUAAAUCUUCACCUCAACUAAUUUAAGCACACAUGAAAUCAUACAUAUGUUGAAUGAAAAAUUGUAUCAAGUAGUACAUAAAGGUGAAGUAAAUUUAGCGCAUUACAAUACAACGUUAUAAAAUUUCGAAAUUUUUUCUUCAUGAAAGUUCCUUGAUCAUGAUCGCGGCGUAAGACGGAGCCUCUUCUUUGGAUAGCAGGAUGCUUGGGUCAACUUCAACAGUGAAUAGAGGCAUGCCAUCAAACUGAUCAUAAUCAUCUGAUUGGUCUGUUUUGUCCUUGACUCCCACGAUUUUUCUUUUACUUAGAAGAACUAUGUGGCGCUUUGGCUCCCAUGGCUCUUCUGGAUUUCUCUUGGGUUUGCUAGAUAUGUCCUUCACAUAGAAAAUCUGAUGCACAUCAUUGGCAAGUACGAAUAGUUCAUUACUGUAUCCAGUCUUGCUCAGAUCCACUAUUGUCAUUCCGUACUAAUCUUUAGUUACGGCAGUUAGCUUCACCCAAUUGCAAAGAAAUAGAGGGAUAUAGAGCAGUCUGUAUUCGAGUUCCUAUAUCUCCUUUAUGAAACCAUAAUACGACUCCUUGCUAUUGUUUCUAUCUAUGGCAUCUAUGCGGACACCACUAUUCUGGUUCGUGCUUUUGUGGUCCUGGACUCUCGUGCAAAAUGUAUAACCAUUUAUCUUAUAGCCUGGGAAUUUCAUGAUUGUGCUAGCGGGUCCCCUGGCUAAUCAAGCGAGCUGUGGGUGAAUCUCAGAGUUACCCAUAAGUUGUUGGCGCAACCAGGAGGGAAAAGUUUCCAUGUGAUGACGUGUAAGCCAAGCAUCGGAUUUCGUCGGAUUUUUGGAAACUACCAUCUGCUUGUGCUGCUCGAUAUACGGAGCCAAAGAAGAUGACUGUUGCAGAACAGUGUAGUGUGCCUUGUCGAACAAAUUAGUAUCAUUGCUCAAACUUGAUUUCUUUCCAAGGGUGCCCAUUCCCCGCUGCCUCCCCUCGUGGCAUGAAGUUGGAACCCCAAUCGAGUCAAUUGAGUGAAUAAAAUAAACACAAAACUCAAUCACCUCCUCUGUUCCAUAUCCCUUGGCGAUGCUUCCUUCUGGACGGGCAUGAUUAAGAACAUAGUUUUUUAGGACUGACAUGAACCUCUCGAAAGGCCACAUAUUGUGCAGGUAUACAGGUCCGAGAAUACCAAUAUCUUUUACUAGGUGAACCAGGAGGUGCGUCAUAAUAUUGAAGAAGGAUGGUGGAAAGACCAACUCAAAACUGACAAGACAUUGCACCACAUCAUUCUAUAGCUUUGCUAGUUUGGAUGGAUCGAUUGCCUUCUACGAAAUCACAUUGACAAACAUGCAUAGCUUUACGAGCUGCAAUCGGACAUUUUCUGGUAGAACACCCCUCAGUGCAGCCGGAAGCAACUGGGUCAUCAACAUGUGGCAGUCAUGGGUCUUGAGAUUUGUAAACUUCAUUUGUUUCAUAUUGAUUAUUCCCUUUAUAUUCGAGGAGUACCCAGACGGGACCUUCGUACUAUUCAAGCAUUCAAACAUGCUAUCCUUCUCUUCCUUGCUGAGAGUGUAACUGGCAGGACGUAAGUAGUGUUGUCCGUUAUCUCUCUUUUUCGGAUGUAGGUCAUCUCGUUGCUUCAUGGCUUUCAGGUCCUGUCGUGCUUCCAAUGUAUAUUUUGAGGUCCCAUAAACACCCAUGAAGCCUAGCAUGUUCACGCAAAGAUUCUUCGUUAGGUGCAUCACGUCUAUUGCGUUGUGGACCUCUAGGGUUUUCCAAUAAGGUAGCUCCCAAAAUAUUGACUUUUUCUUCCACAUGGGUGCACGUCCGUUAUCGUCGUUCGGAACAGGUUGGCUACCAUGACCCUUUCCAAAGACUACAUUUACAUCCUUUAUCAUCUCAAAGACACACUUUCCAUUACGGUGUGCAGAUUUUUAUGAUCGUCUGGCGCCCCUUUGAAAUGCAUCCCGCUCUUUCUCAGCUGGUGGUGAGCAGGAAGAAAUCAACAAUGACCCAUAUAGACGACCUUCUUACAGUGCUUCAAAUACAUGUUGUCUGUGUCAUCUAAACAGUGGGUGCAUGCCUGAUAUCCCUUGUUUGUCUGUCCCGAAAGGUUACUCAGUGCAGGCCAAUCAUUGAUGGUUACGAACAACAAUGCUCGUAGAUUAAAGAUCUCUUGUUUUAUCCUCACCCCACACACGUACACAUUCUUCCUUCCAGAGCUGUAAAAGUUCAUCAACCAACGGUCUUAGGUACCCGUCAAUGUCAUUGACGGGUAGAUUUGGGCCUUCGAUAAGCGCUGGCAUCAUAAUGAACUUCCGCUUCAUGCACAACCAAGGAGGAAGUUGAACAUACAUAGGGUCACAGGCCAAGUACUAUGGCCACUACUCAACUCACCGAAUGGAUUCAAUCCAUCAGUACUUAAACUAAAUCUUAUGUUCCUUGCUUCACUUUCAAAGUUCAGGAAUGCUCUAUCAAUUGAUCUUCAUUAGGCCCCAUCUGUGAGGUGUCUCAACAUCUCAUCUUCCAUACGUUCUUCUUUGUGCCAUCGCAUCAACUUAGCAUUCGCCUUGUUCCUGAACAAGCGCUUCAAGCAUGGUAUUAUAGGGAAAUACCACAUCACCUUCGUAGGAACUCUCUUCUUGGGAGACUGCCCCUCGACAUCACCAGGAUUAUCUCGCCUAAUCUUAUACCGCAGUGCUUCGCACACGGGACAAGCAUCCAUUUUCUCGUAUUCAUCACCACGAUAAAGGAUACAGUCAUUAGGGCAUGCGUGUAUCUUCUGAAUUUCCAAUCCGAGAGGGCAAAUAAUUUGUUUAGCUUCAUAUGUUAUGAACGGUAAUUUAUUAUUCUUGGGAAGAAUCUUCUUGACAAUAUUCAACAUCCCCUGAAAUGCCUUAUCGGACACACCAUUUUUUGCCUUCCAUUUCACAAAUUCUAGUGUCGUACCUAGUUUUUUAUAGCCCUGCUGGCAAUCUGGGUACAAUAAUUUUUGGUGAUCAUCUACCAUGGGCUGCAACUUUGCUGCUUCCUUCUCAGUUUCGCAAUCUCUGUGUGCAUCUCGUAGCACCUGACCAAGGUCAUCAGUAGGGACAUUUUCUGCAAACUCAUCUUCAUCAGCCUCACCCAUUGUAGUAUCUGCAAAAGCUUGGCCUGCAGCACAGUCCGGAAUGUUGUCAUCAUCCUCCUCCCCUUCGCCAUCUUCCAUUACAACCCCUCUUUCGCUGUGCUUGGUCCAAACCAAAUAGUUAGGCAUGAAACCGUAUCUAAACAAGUGGCUGUGAAUAGUCCCCCAGGAAUCCUUUGAAUAGUCCUUCUUGUUACUGCAUUGUAAGCAUGGACAACAUACGAACUCGUUCUCUGCCUUGUUUGCUUUGGCCACUUCGAGAAAAUAAUGCAAGCCAUCAAUAAAUGCCUUACUUCGUCUGUCCGUAUUAUACAUCCAUUGCCAGUCCAUCUGUAUCAUAUUAUGCAUGAAAAUGGAUUACACUUGAAAAUGGAUUACGCGUGAAAAUGGAUUAUACUUGAAAAUUGAUUACGCAUGAAAAUGGAUUCACGAUUGAAAGGAUGUCAAACGUUGUAGUGCAAAUAAUGUUGAAAGUUUAGAUAUAGAUAGAAAUAAACAUAUUUAAAUUACAGAUCCAAACAACAUGAUACACUAUGACAAGCCAUCCACUGAUUAUUAUCUAGGAGUACUUUAAGUAUCCUUGGGCAGUGAAGACGAAGGUUCCGCUGACCUAGCCUCAUACUGUGGUUUAUUUGUGCCUCCUGGAACGGUAGUACUAAGUGGACGUCAAACACCCGAGACUGACGGUGGAGCAUAACGGCCACCAAAAGGAGAUUUCUGACCUGCCACAACAACAUCUUCAUGACAUUUCUGCAAAUAACGAAGCAUUGCUUUCUCCAACGUGCUCAUUUUCUUUGGCUUAUCCUGAGGGCCAACUAUGGUUUUCCCCUUGCCGCAAGAGGAACGACGAUCGCCCCCACCAUCGCCACUUCCUCCAGUAGAAGAAGCUAUCUAUGUACAAAAAUUCAUACCUUAGCACUGCAGAACUUGUUGAACUUGAAGACCGUGAUCAUCUCAGCGAGCAUGUUCUCAACUGGGCGGCACUGUAUGUCGUCAUGAAAGAGCUUCGAUUUUACGAGAAAGGGGACACGGUCUUCCACGAUGUCCGUUGCCGCUGUUUCUCGUAAAAUCGAAGCUCCUCCUUAACGUCCGUUACUGCUUCGCGGAGAACAUGCUUACCGAGAUGAACACGGUAUGCCUGUAGAACUUGUUGAACUUGAAGACCGUAAUCAUCUCGAUGAGCAUGUUCUCAACUAGGCGGCACUGUACUUUGUCAUGGAAGAGCUUUGAUUCUACAAAAAAGGGGUCACGGUCGUCCACGAUAUCCGUAUCCGCUCUUUCUUAUAGAAUCGGAGCUCCUCCUUGAUGUCCGUUGCUGCUCGGCGGAGAACAUGCUCACCGAGAUGAACACGAUAUGCAAGUUCAACAGGUAUGGAUUUGAAAAAAAACAUAUUAAAUUUGACAAGAUAAACCGUCUAGACAAGGGUAGCAUCAUUCUUAAACCACUGCAAGGAUACAUACUAUAUAUGACACAUCAAUCUACCUCACAUUCUAGCUCAAAAUCCUCUCCAUUUUCUACUUCACAUUCUCCCAAAUAAACUAUCCAUCUCCAUUCUAUACAUCAAGUUGUUUUAACUAAUACGAAUCGUAUAUAACAAGCAAACUAUCCAUCACAUUCUAGCUCAAAAAUAUGUAUAAGUACAAAUCCUCUUCAUUCUCCCUCUUUCUAACAAACAAACUCAUUUUUCUCCCUUUCUAAAGCAUAAAUCAAAACAUAACAAGAGGAUGAAGUAGCAAACCUUCACAACACUUUGGAUGAGUGAAAUUCCCAUGAAAAUGAGGGGAAAAAAUUCGGACAGCACCUCCCUUAUUUCGACACCAUCGGAGAGUAGGUGAAGCUCACCUCUUUGUCUUUGUGGUGGACUGGCUCGGGCUGAAGGAGGAAGAAAGGCCUCUGUCUUGGGAUAUAAUGGGGGAUGAGUUUUUAUCCCGGUUAAAAACUCCAACCAGGACAAAAAGCAACACCUUUUGUCCCGGUUGAAAGUUUACUCCCGGUUGGAAUUACCAACCAGGACUAAACUUUUUGUCCUGGUUGGUGUUACCUACCGGGACAAAAGGGCCAGGUUGGAGGCUCCAACCAGGCCAAAAGGGGCACGCCACCGACGCCUGGGAACUAGCCGUUACAACCGGGACUAAAGGGGGGCCUUUAGUCCCGGUUGCAAAUACCAACCGGGAGUAAAUCUCUGCUCCAUUCCAGCCUACCGUGGCGCGCCCCUUUUUAUUCCGGGUCAACUUUAAACCGGGACAAAAGGGGACACAUGGAAGAUCAGUUCUCUACUAGUGUAUUUAUUUAUUUGUCAUUUAUUUUACCGGCGUCAUUUAUACCCUAGGUUGUCUUACACUUUUCUUUUGGUUAGCACUUAUCCAUAAACACUCCUAGUGAGCAUUGCGGUUCUUAUAUUUUCAAUGUGUUUAAUUCUAACUAAACUCAAGUUCGAGGGAAACACAUGAACAGUACAAGAUUGUAAAUGCUCACUUAGAUAGUUUAUAGAUGCUAAAUUGUCACUUAACUCUUGGAACAAUGGAAUGGAUACAUAAAUUACACACAUAUCAAUAAUAGUUUCUAUUCUUAUUUAUCUAAAUAUUCAAGUGCAUACAUUAUAUUCUAGUACACUUACAUAGAUAUCAGACAUAAUUAAUAUGUCAAAUCUUGUAUCCUAGCACUUCGACAAUAUAGAUUAGAGCAUGAUUUUUUAGAAAAUUAUGAAUUUUCUUAGAUGCCACCUUUUCUUUGUUGUGUUUGAUGUUAGGACCUAGUUGCAAGAAAUGAUGACCUUGUUUCAAUAGGAACAUGAGUUGUGCAUCCACGAGUGGUAUUGAUAUAUAUGCACAUAGUAUUUUCUUGAUUUGUUGUUUUGUUUUUUAGACUAAAAUGAUUUGAUCUUCCUACCGAAUGUGAUCACAUUCUUUGAAAAGGAUCAAGGGAAAUAUGCAUUUUAUUAAAAAUAUUGAACUCUAAAUGUCAAUAUCAAUACCUCAUCAAUUUGAUAAUAAGUUAAUUUGGUAGACCUUGGUGCCUCAUAGAUUUAAUAAUUUGUUAUAACACAAAUAAUUGUUUACACUACUACAGGAAUAACUGAGUCCUUGCACUAUCAGAAGUAUGGAUACGAUAAUGGAUGCAUCCUUGAAAGCUAUGCACAAAAAGCUUUGAACUCAUAGAAAGGCAAUCCAUCAUUAGAUAACGGAGAUCUGCAUUUCAUAUUUCUUAGAGUAUUUAUGACAAUUGUCUAUUGUAUUUCAAUACAGAACUAUAAAUCAUGUAGAUCCUAGAAAGACUAUUUAUAUUUGUAUUAGAUUCGUAGCUUCGAUCAAGAAACUUAUCUUCAAAAUGUAUAUGGAUACCUUGAUUAUGGUGGCUGGUUUAGUUCAUUUUGACAGAUAGAAAAAGUGGUAUCUUUUAUUAAUUGAUAUGAAAAAAGUUUAAAAUAGGUGUAUAUAAUAUUCAUGUUUUGUUUCUAAAUAUAUAUCAUUGUAGUAUAUAUUUUUAUUAUUGAGUUAAGACUUAAUUUUCAAAUGAAAAGAAAUUUUGAUUAUUAGCUGCCCUUGAAACCUGACAGUCCUAACACAUAGGAGCAUGCAAUACCCAUAUGCUUCACAAGUUGUGUUCAUGAGCUUUUUUGAGCUUUACGACUCCUAUUUCUUUUUCCAAGGGACACGACACAUCUUGACAAAUAAUGUCAUGCCAACUCUCAGGCUUUUAGAAGAAUGAAGUCACGAGACAAUUGGCUUAUCUAGAAAUUUAAUAAUCAAUUACACUAUAGUUGUGCUAACUAGAAUGCAAGAAAUAGUUAUUGCUCUUCUACGACCAUAUUUAAAACAUAUACACUAUAUUUAUUAUGUGGUAAUGCCAACAUAUUUUGUUUAUAAAAUCUUUUAUCUAGAAACUUCUUUCACGUUAAUAAGAUUUAUAUGAUUUUUGUACUCAAAGAAUUAAAUAUGUAUUUGAUUUCAAUAAUUUUCUAGAAGAUUGUGUUAUGACAUUACUUUUGAAGUGAUAAUUGAUACAUUACGUUAUGGUAAUACUUUUGAAGCAACACUAAAAAUCUAAAUAUUUUUGUAAAAGUGGAAGGAUUAAGACAGGAGGAUGCAUUUAUGAUUUCCAUUGUGAAAAAUGAUUCGUUUACAUGGUAUUUGUUUUCACAAACUUCCAUUGAAAUAAAACCUAGGUAGCCUGCAAACGUUUAAUAUCUCCCUCACGUGAAUAACACCCGAGUCCUGACGCAUAUAACCCUACUUCUAGAAGUGGUAAGCUUAAGCGAUUGCCUCUGGAAAUUUUGAUUUCUAUAGAUGGUCUGUAUAUUGAAGCUCCUUUUUUAUGAACAGUAAGGAAGGUCCCUAAACACCUUUUUCAUUUUAUAAAAAAGGAUACGUUUACAAAUCCCAAGGCACAAGGAGAGACCCUAAUAACAAACGUUUACUGAGUCUCUCCAGCAGUCCCUCAAUAAAUGUUUCCCAAUAACUAGUUAAUAGGGAUAUCCCAAUAUCACUUUCACCGUUAUUGGUAGCUUUGCUUUUGCAGUUUUCAAUAAUCUCAUCCUAAUCCAAUUACCAUAUUAGGAGAGUCACAACUCUUUCUUUAUUUAGGGAGAGUUGGAGUGAAUUAUUGGGUGUCCCAAUAAUUAUUAGGAAAAAUGAAAGGAAGACUGCUAGUGCACUAUUUUCUUAUCAACUCUCCUAAUAUGGUAGUUGGAUUAGGGAAAAGAAGACUGCUGAUAGAUGCUCUAACCGAUACACAUAAAUGAUCCACGAGGGUUUUACAAGAUGCAGAGCUAAACCAAUCUCCUUUAUGAAUGAGGCCUUCCAUCUAGCUAUAGAAAGUGACACAGUAUAAAGAAUAUAAUGAUGGAGUUUCUAUGGCACCAUAGGCACCAACACGCUGUCAUCAUCACUUCUCUUAAGAUCUUGAGCCAAAAGCAUGCCUUGCUACAAUGACUGUAUAACUGUAUUGGUUGGGGGCACUGAAAGUUCCUAAAGGAUGCCUUGUUUUCUUCAACAUGUCUCCCUGAAAGGACAAAGUAACAACAGAUCACAACAGGGUCCCUUCAACCCCACUACUACAAAGCACACAUCCAUAAUCACCCAGAGCUCUAUUUUUUCCUUCGUAGGUCAUAUGUGGUGUUUAACCUGUCACACAACAGCUGCCAAAGGAAUUCCAUGUCCAUUUGAAGAGCGGAGAAAUUAAGGUCCUGCAAAUGAGAGCAUUAUAGUCUUGCUUGAGAGUAUAAGAAUCUGAUCCCCAAUUACUUGAACAAAAAUAUCUCUUUCAGUAGUGACCAUCCUGAUAUAUCUAGGAACUUGCUCAAUGAUAUGUUAUAUGGUUACUAGCAUAAGAAAAUAGAUGAGGGAAUCUCCACUUGAGUACACCCACAUCCAAAGAAUCCUCCCAUAACAUGACAGUGUCCCCUUUCAUAGCUUUGCGGGAAAUCUGCACUGCAGCCCCUGUGCUGCACAGGUGACUGACAUAAAUAACCACCUACAAAAAAGGGGUACAUAUAAAAAAUAAUUGUUUGGUUAAAAUAAAAGUAAUUGUAGCAGACUACACCAAAGCGGUCAUUACAAAUGCUAAGGAAAGAAGUUAGCGGAUGGUAUCGAGGAGUUUGUACGAGAGGUCGGUGGUAAUAUCGCCUGCGCGUCUGCUCCAAAGGGUGAACUUAAUGUCUGUAUUAACAUAAAUAUUGUUGAAGUUAGUUUUGACCACAGUCAACCGAUGAGGAUAAGAAAGAGUCUGUUGACAGCUCGAUGUUGACCAAGGCCCACCACAUGCAGCCGGAUUCCAGAAACCAAUAUAAGACCGGGAGGAAUCUAUUCUGAAGCAAAAUUGACUCCACCAAACAAGAGAAAACGUGAAAUAUUAUCUUUAGUGGUUUUUUAGAAUUAUUGUCAUAGUUCAUGUUGCAAUCGAGUAGGAUUUUAACUUGCUCCAAAGUAUAAAUAUAAGCUCAUGAGCUCUGUAAUGGAUAAUCAUUAAUCAAUCAGCAUAACGUUUCAGCAAAACGCCAUGCUGCCAAAACCCUACGAGUAGAAGUAGAGUAGAAAACGGCGAGUUUCUUCUUACGUGUAGGGUGCAUCGGCGUCGAUCUUAGGCGAGCUUGUAAAUACCGUCACCCGGUCGUUACGUUAUCUAUAUCAAAAUUUUGUAGGCAUCAUUCAAUAUUCUAAUCUGUUCUCAUAAAAGCUAAUUAUCGAGUUAACUUAGAUUCCAAGUAGAACUUUCUAAGCUUUGUCCAAUAUUCUAUUUGUCUUUGAUGUUGCUCACAGUUAUUGAGUUGUUUGAUUUUAUUAAGUUGCAUCGUAUCGAUCUCUUAGUUCUAUCAAGCUCUCUCAGUUAUCAAAUGGCUUAGAUCUGGUUAGACUACCUUCAUCCGCUCCUAGAUCUUGUUUAAGCGUUCACUAGUUCUCUGAUCAUAUCGGCUGGUUAGAUCUUACAUGCUUUAUAUCCUUUAUAUAUGCUAGGUCCGAUAGAUCUUUACUCCUGCCCCUCGCAUUGCUAGCCAUUGGAUCCUUAAUGUCAAAACACUGCUAGGUAAUUGGCCUUCAGUACCGAUCCCAAACCCCCUUUUAGUACCGGUUGUGCAAGUGGUAUUGCUAUAUCAGUACUAAAGGGGAUCCUUUAGUAUCGGGUCAAAUAACUGGUACUAAAGUGUACGCAUUAGUACCGGUUUGGGAGACCAACCGGUACUAAUCCGUUUUUUCGCACAAAAAAAUAUGCUGACCGCCGGGAGGCCCCCGCACACAAGUCACAAGUCAUGCGAUUUUCACGCGUAAUAUGCGCAUGCGCGUUUCAUGGGAUUCAAACCCACGACCUCAAGCUUCGCGCGAUCCUUCCUUACCAUCUCAUCUACACAGCACAUGUGAUGGAUGUAGAUAUGUUUUCCUUUUGAAGUAACCUAUGGAGAGACCUUUAGUACCAGGUCAUAACAUCACGCGGUACUAACACUACAAGGUUUUAUCACUAGCGUCACGGCAUGAAAUCGUUGCCAUACGGGUCAUUUCGUUGUAAUAGCGAGCUAUUACGACGAUUUUGUGUCGUUGCCUUAAAAAUGAUGUCGUUGCUUAAACUUGCAUUGUAAUAUGAUAUUACAACGACAUAGGAAGGCGUGGGCAUAAGGGUGAGUUGUUGCAACGAUGAGUGUCGUAGCAAUCAGUGGAAAUUACAACGCCCAUUGUCGUUGCAAUUUUGGUAAUUGCAACGGUAGGCAUCAUUGCUAUAGUGGCUAUUGCAAUGACAUUGCGCUGUUGCAAACAAGCGUAAAUACAACACAAGAAUGUUGUUGUAAUGCGAGACUUAUGCUGUUGCAAUAUGCUAACAGGAUAUCUCAACGAAAUACUAGUCGUUGCUAGGCGUCAACCAUAUCUCAACAAAAUAUGUCGUCGUGUUACAAAUAUAGGGUAGCGCAACGAAUCAUGUGUCGUUGUUAUAUGCUCAACGGAUAUCGCAAUGACGAGAAAGCGUCGUUAUAUGCUGACAAGUUAUCACAACGAGGUACGUGCCGUCGUUAUAUGUUUCAACCAUAUCGCAACGAAAUAUGUCGUGGUUAUAUGUGUACAGGGUAGUGCAACACAAUACGGGUCGUGGUUAUACGCUCAAUGGAUAUCACAACGAGAAAGCGUCGUUAUAUGCUUACAAGGUAUUACAACCAGGUACGUGCCAUCGUUAUAUAUUUCAACUAUAUCGUAAUAAAAUAUAUCGUGAUUAUAUGUGUACAAGGUAGGUAACGAACUUUAUUCUUUGCCUGCUACUUAUGUUUUAUGCCCUUAGGUAACAACAACCUCGCUUAUUCCCAUGUACUGCAAAAUUCGGCACUAAACCAAAGUUAGAGUCACAUGAGCAUCUUUUCCUCGAGACCUUACAUGUAAUGGUAGUUAACGCCUAUUUUUAUUUGUAUGUCCGUUGUUCGUCCGUUACUUAUCCCGGGUUUUCUAAAGAGCUUUUUCACGUGGUGUAUCCACAGGUCUCUCACUGGUUCCUUUUUUUUUUUCACAAGCACUGCGAAACCGCAGCACCAGCAACACUGAGCGGUAAAAGGCCAAAUCGAGCAGACGCAACACGCAAAAAAACAAAAUCGAGCAGACGCAGACGCAAAAUCAAGCGGCAACUAGGAAAAUCGAUCGGUGGAAAUGUCAAAAUGGAGCCGUGGCGUGUGUACAGGAGCCGUUGCACUUACAACCGACACAUCGUCACGAUCCUUCUGCAUACGUUCAGAGGAAUAACUCGGUGACAAGACAUGUCCCAGAAUUUCAGAUGCUGCCAAAUGACUCAUACCUUACAGUAUGCACGGUCAACACUUAGUCCGCAGACUGAGCUUGACCGGCAUGGAGAGAUUGGCUAAUACCGUAGGACACCAAAAGGAUAAAUAGCCCAGCCCAGCUUGGGCACCCAACACCCAACAGCUAGAGCAUCUACGAACGAACUAAUAGAGCACGCAACAACGUAACUGCAGACACUAUAUACCACGAUGGCUCUAAGGGCAAGCAGCAAAGGCUUGGUAGUUCUGUGCUUCGUCUCUCUCCUCCUUGUCUCAUCGUUUGCUGAUACAACAUCCCGAGCCCAAGGUACACGCCCUACUUUCCCUAAAUUCUGGAACACCUGCAAGAGCUAAUGAUACCAAUAUAUACCGAAGCAAUCACUUUUUCUAAUGAUAAAAAGAUAUAUAUUUUCAGCUUUAGCCUUCUUCUAAUUGAACACUUUCCAUUUAUGAUUAGCGAUUUUCGAACCAUUUCUUAUAAGUUAGAGAUGCAUCAGACCGUAAUUAUUGUUAAAAAGUCCGUCUAAAGAUAGGUAAGCAACAUAAGAAUCUAUAGCCGAGCCAUCCGACAUAACUGUUACCUUGCAUCAUGUAUGCAGAUACUGGGAGGAAGAUGAAGCGAGAAUUGGUGGCCGCGGACGAAGAAUACGCGCCAUUACCACCGUCAUACGGCGUCACGCCGCCCUUACCACCAUCGUACGGGCCGCCCUCGCAGACUGUACCAACAUACACGCCUACACAGCCGUGAAUCCACGUGCGAGUCUGGCACAGAUGAAUUACGUAUGCUAGUUUAUAUAUAUAUAUAUAUAUAUAUAAUAUAUAUAUAUAUAUAUAAUAUAUAUAUAUAUAUGUAAGUGAAUAAAAUUACCACUGGCCGGGGUGUGGUGCACUGAUGCUUGUUUCGACACGUAGCCACAACGGACGCUCGUUUGGCACAGCUGGUCUGUCGACUGUAAUCAAAUUAUAAAGUGGCGUUGCUUUGCAGGCUCCAGCUGUACCAUCGACAUGUCAAAUCUUGAGUUGAAAGAUUAAAUAAAGUGCUUUAAUUUGGUUAAGCUAGCUUCAUUUCUAUCUUAAUAAAACAAGAUGAUGCCACUGCAUCACAAAGUUAUCCCAGCGCGCCCACUCCCCUUGAUUAAAUGAUCUUGGUGUGGAACUGUGGAUAGGCAGAUUAUUUUUACUAGUCGCUAACCCAUGCAUUCGCACGGGCUACUUUAUAUAUCAGUAGAUAUACGAAAUUUUUAGAUUGUUUUCUACUUUGAUAUAUAAACUGCUUGAGAAUAUUUCUAAAUAGUGGUAUCUUAUAACAACUUCCAACAUGCCGACCCCUUCCAAUAUGCCUUUAUAGUGCAUCAGAGAUGCGGUGACCAAGGUCGCUUCCUCAGCUUUUGCUGGAGGGAAAUACAAAGCCUUGUUGCACAGAGGAGACUCAUCAUCUGAUGCAUGUAUGUUUGCCUUGGCAGUCUGCAGUGACCGACCUGUUGCGGUCAUCAAAGGUCGAAUAUGGAAGUACAUCCUCUGCAGUCUUCCAAAUUCCUUUUAAUCACAAAUGUGGUUCACCAUCCCCAUCAUACCUCUUUGUAUCCAUGCAACUAUAUAUAGUCCAGUACUGCUCUCGCCGCAUUGGAUCAUUAUUGCUGUUUACUGGUCAAGAUGCCGCGGCGAUUAAUCCACGUUGAUGACCAAGCACUUCUGUAGAUACCCCCGAGAUGACAUCUCGUUACCUCUAGCUCCGGACCUUUACGUGUUGCUCCCGUAUAGCUCAUUAGCCAUUAGCUAAGCAGCGGCAGCUUGAUGCUGUCACAUAUACUGAUUGGCACCGGGAGCAGGCCGUGGAGAAUGUGGAGGAGAUGUUCGUAGUACGGUGACUAGGACCUCCAUGCAUGGCGAUUAAUUUGGUGAGGAGAUGCCCCAGGAUACUGACGGCCUGUGGAGUUACAGCGUCUAUCCUUUUGCAGGUACCUCCUCGAUAUAUCACGGUAAGUUUCAAUGUAAUAAAAUAGAAGUAUCCAUUUCAAAAAAUAAAAUAAAAUAGAAGUACAGUAAGAAAAUAACCCAACGACUCUGCUGACCUGGUGUUUUUUUUUUGUGUGUUUGUUUACUAUCUUUUAGAAGACAAGACGCUAGCCAUUUCAAUUUUUAUCUCGUAAAGAAAGAAUGUUUCCAGACCUGUAAGGGAAGGAAGGAAAAAUUGCUUGGAACUUUAUUUUAUUUAUUAUUAUUACUGAUCUAACGAUAUAUGGUGGCCGGCCAGUAAUUGGUCCCACCAGUUCCGAUCAGUUUUCCCCUUUUCUCUUAGAUUAGAUCAGAGCCGUUCCCUUAACUGGUCCUACCAGAUAUACGGUCAGAUUUGUUUUCUUUUUCUCCGAUUAACAAGGAAUUUUCUAGAUGACCUGUGAUUAGUAGUAUAGGUAUAUAGACGAUUUUGGAUGAGACAAAAUUUAUAUGAUAAUUGCAUGCAUCUCCAGUUGUUGCAGACCGGAAGUUAUAUUUUAGAUAAAAAAAUAAAGUUGUAAUUGGCAUAUUAUUUAUUUAAGAAGUGAGGGGGAUGAACCUGUACGCUUCUGGUGCAGCAGUGACAGUCAUCAAACCUGUUAGUUAAUUGUAACGGUUAGAAUAAUGAUCCGUCAUAAACCUUUAGUUACUAGUAACAGAUAUUUGAUUGCACCAUUUAAUCACUAUUUAUAACAGCAAAACGUUCACUGCAACGCAACACGUCUCGCGUCUCCUGCACGUAUGACUCGACACGACCAUGGCCUCGACCUCGGUGAGGCAAGCGAGCGCGCGCCAAUCUCCCCGGUGUUGACGAAGCCUACAUAAUAAAUUGCUUAAGAUCCUCCUAAACAACCAAUGUGGAAUUAACCACUUUAACUCUCUAACAUUUAAUGUGCCUUGUAAUAUUAAUUAUAUUUAAUUGAAUUAACUCCAACAAGCUCUUUCUUUUCUGCCCAUUUGCACUGUCCUGCUUGAAUAAUAUCAGUCUACAGGUCCAUUCAGACCUGUCUGGGUUGGACAACUUGCGAAGACUACGUAAUCAGAUUGCGCAACUUUUCUUCAUGAAGGUGAUAAUAUUAAUGUGCUGAAGUAUUUGGCUGACUAGAAAUUGUUUCAUCUUUCACAACAAAUUAGGUCAGUUUUAGUGCACAGUUUCAUUGCACAGUUAUUAGGACUAAGAACUUGGUAACUGUGCCAGUUGAGUAUCAUGGGGACGAAACUACAUUCUUUCCUCAUGAAACUCCCCCUCAUAAUGACCUUACCAAGUCAGCAAUUUUGCUGAUGUGGCAACAAAUUUAAUGCUCAUGAAACUUUUUUGAAACAACCAUUGAGACUGGCCUUAGCCCCAACAAUUGAAAGGUGUCAAAUUUUCUUUAGAGCAUCUCAAACAAUCUCACAAUAAAUGUUUCCCAAUAAGGCAAUAACUAGAUAUCCCAAUAGCACUUUCAUUGUUAUUGGAAAAGUUGCUUUUGCAAUCUUCCAAUAAUCUCAUCCCAAUCUAACUACCCUAUUUGGAGAGUCACAACUCCUUCUUUAUUUCGGGAGAGUUGGGGUGAAUUAUUGGUUUGUCCCCAUAAUUAUUGGAAAAGGAGAAAUGUAAAGGGAGUCUGCUGGAGCACUAAUUUUUAACCAACUCUCCCAACAUGGUAGUUGGAUUGGGGAAUGGGGAAUUGGUGAGAUACUCUAAGGGUUGCAUAGCAUCUCCAGCAGUUCCCAAUAAAUCUAUCCCAAUAACUAGCUAAUCGAGAUGUCCCAAUAAUCCUUUUGUGGUUACUGGGAGAGUUGCUUUUGCACACUAGGCCACAAAAGAUUUGUGCUGGCGGCUAAAAGGGCUCUAUGAUGGCGGGUCAAGCACCCGCCAACAACCUUGAGCCAGCACAGACCGCUCUAUGCUGGCAGGCGACGUUAGUAUUGGGAGAGUCACAACUCCUGCUUUAUUUGAGGAGAGUUAGGCUGGAUUAUUGAUUUGUUCCAAUAAUUAUUAGGAAAAGGGAAAGGUCUUCCUUUAUUUGAGGAGAGUUAGGAUGGAUUAUUGAUUUGUUCCAAUAAUUAUUGGAAAAAGGGAAAGGUCAAGGAGAUUUGCUGGGGCAUCAUCUUUUCAUAAAUAAACUGUCCCAAUAUGGUAUUGAUCAAUGGCUUCACUCAUUUACUAUUUGUAAUGUACGUUAUCCUCUUUUAAUACAUAAAUUGGUUGGGGGCUCGCCCGUGGUGUUUCAUAAAAAAGAAAAAAGAAAAAUCGAUCGGUUCCACUUGCAAAAUGAAGUUGUGGCGUCGCACUACUCGAAAACACGGCAUUAGUCAAGGUUGGAUAGGGCCAUCGAUCCCGAAAAUCCAAUAUGGACUAAAUUUUUGAGACAAAAGGGGAUUCUUUAGUCCCGGAUCAUUCAUCCAGGACUAAAGAUCCCCUUUAGUCCCGGUUGAUGGCAGCCACGCCAGGCAUAGCACGGGCUCCUUUAGUCCCGGUUGGUUUUGCAUGGCGCAUGCAAGUACCCCUUAAGAUUUUUUUAAAAUUCUUUUCCAUAUUAAUAUCAUAUGCAUGUCAUAUUAAUAUUGUAUGCAAGUCGUAUAUAUAUUUCAUGGCAGUAGUAUAUAUAUACAAUUCUUAGUAUAUUAUACAAAUCAAACUAGUAUUUAUACAAUUACUAUAUAUACAAUAAUUUGUCCAUUUCAUUCCUAGGGUUUUCCCAUCAUGGUGUUGCUCGGUGCGGCUAUUGAACGUCCGUUGUAACAAAAUUUUCCUGUAGGAUUUAUCAACUCGUCCACAGGAAUCCUAUGGGACCUUCACAAAUUGCCAAAAUCCUCUCCUUCUCCAAGAAUCUUUCUUGAAUCUUCCACAUCUGUAAUUUGGAAAUAUGUGAAUGUUACACGAACACUUAAAUAUAAGGAGCUAGAUAAUAAUUAAUUAUUAAUAGUUUUAUUUUACGUACAUUUAGAUCAUGCGAUGACAGCACCUUGCCAUGCACAAAAUUAUUCAUGUGCCUAUAGACGUAGUAUCCACAUAGAUUAUUGCCUUAAUCCUAUCUCAAGCACUUUAGUGGGAAAAAACAAGUUAUGAAAUAUUUGUGUUAUAUAAUGUACAAAAUGUGCAAACUUCAUACGUACCGGGAACUUUGUACUGAAUGUAAGUUUUUUGUUGAAGUUACCAUGGUGAGUCUUAAGGAAUCAUUUCCAUGCACUACGGAAUAAAAUAAUGAAUGAUAUAAUGUUAGGUGAAAAUUUAGAAAAUAAACUUUUGCAUAGAGAUAGAGGUCCAGAAUUAUUACGAGUUUAGCAUAUCUUGAAUGUCUUGGUACUCCACCGGUGGUUUCCUCAAUGAAUCGAACACAACGACAUGGCUUCUAUCAAUCAAUAUUAUUAGGAGGAUCCAGUGGAAACUGUGUAUAUAAAUAUUCAUAUUAGAGCUAACUAACAUUAAUUAGGUAAGGAAAAAACAAACAAAAAUAGACAAUAUCCACACUUACUUAAAGCAGUAAUAUAUAUUCCUUAUAAUUUUGUUUGUCCAAGAAAUUGUAUACUGCCUCCAAUGUUUUCUUUGGAGGAUCCCGUAUCUGAGCUUGGUUAACGAGCGAUAGAUCCAUGAAGCCAAUAUUGAAGUACGAUUCUCUACUGCACCUUUGAAUUAGCAUCCUACUUAAAAUGGAAGACGAAGUUAGUAGGACGAGGCACACACAAAAAAUAAUGAUAUGAGCCAAAAUUUACUUAUUGAUAAACAGACACUUACAAAACCCAAGUGCUGAUGAGAGAGAUGUCAACGGCAUCUUGAUGGUACACUUCAUAUAUAUCCUUGAAUUUCAUCCAUAGGAGUUUCUCACCUUCGCCAAAAAAAAUCAAUCAUUUUAACCCAAAGAGCAAACAUGAGCCUCUCAUGGGCAAACUGCUCCAUGUACCAUUCGUCGAAUUCAUACAUCUUCAUGGAUAGCUUCCGUACCAAUUCAAGCCUUACUAGAGGCUUGCCUACCUCAAAGGGCCAUUUAGGUACAAUUGGCUCUAGAGCUAGCGGUUCAACUUGUCCUAGAACUUUAGCAAGAGACAUACCUAUAUCUUGCAUAAAUCCAAUGACUCUGAUUUGUUGUUCAAAGGGCAUUGCUUGUAUAGUUUGAGCAUUUUUAUCUGGUAGAACCCCGAGGUGGGGAGAGUACGACUUGAAGAUGACGCUCCUCGCCAUUUUUUCUUCUCAUCAGACUUAACUAACGAACGCUCGUAGUUCGAUAGUAUAGUCCUCUUUAUUUUUGUUGAUGUGCUAAUAAUUUUUUUUUAAUUUUGCUAGAUCCAUCUCCUUUGCUUUUCUUUGUCCAGUGUAUUUUUUGAAGAACUCCUUCACCAUUGCUUGGGAUAGCUCCUGCAAUUCCUCAGUAGUCAUAUCGCCCGGUAGCUUCUAAAUGGGUUCAGACUUCUUUGUUUUCUUUGGCUGCCUUGGCUUGGAAGGUGGUGGUCACGGCUUCUUCAGAGGUACUGUAGGUUCCUUGCUCACUGCGGGUCUUAUCUCAGUGAUGGUGAUCGGGGAGGGGUGUUGUGGUCGUCGUCGCGCGCACCACCAGGAUUCGAUUGAGAUAGAGAUGGUGAUCGAGCAGGAUGCGAUAGUCCUGGUGGUCUCGAUGGUCCUGGAGGUGGAUGUGCUGGAGAUGACGGUCUUGAGUUUUGAGGAGAUGGUUGCUGUAGGGGAUCUACGGGGAGCAAUGAUGCGUCCUUACCGGGGAUGAUGAUGUAGCGUUUGCGCCAUAGAAUAAUCCCAUGAAGUGCAUCUCCUAGUGUCAUUUCCAUGUCACCUCCCGGGAGGUCGACCUCUAGGCCUUCAUAUUGACUAUCAACAAUCUGGUCUAGACCAAUGCUGGAGUAGCCAAGUGGAAUCUCCACGCCAUGGCUUGUCUGCCCUGGCAGGAUUGGCAAAGCACUUCUGUACACCACCUGUACAUAUAGGAGAAAUAAAGAAGUUAUUAAACUCCCCAGGCGUAGAUCAAUUGAGAAGAUUGCAUAAAUUAUAUAUAUGUAUACCUUGAUAGUGAUGUCACCAAAUGGUCUAUGCAGCUCACAUAAGGUGCGCUGAGUGAUGUCAUCUACAGGGUACCGUUGGUUGUCCAUGGGUAAUCUUGACAUCUGCUCAUUGGGGACCCCUGUGGAAGCACAGGUGCUUCGGCUUUGAGAAGGACUGAUGACGUUGGGAUCCCGCAGUGCUCCAGAUUGGGCCAUCUCGAUAAGCACCAGGGCCACUCGAUGAUUAAUUUCUUCCUACAUUCUUACUUCUUGUGAAUGCACUUUGGCUUCUAACAUGCGUCGUCAGUCCUCUUGUGGUUCCUUUCUUUGCUUGUAGCUUCUUUACGAGUCGAUGUCCCUACAAAAAGCGAACUUCCACGGAACAACCCCGUAGCCUCGGCAACGUUCUGGGUGCUUGGGAUUUCUGAGUGCCAAUGUGAGCUUAUCGUUGUCUCUAUCCACCUUCAACCUCCCAGCUUUAGCAUCUUCAAUGCUUUUGAUAAGCCUUUCAACCUUCUGACAUAUUAUUUGGUUGAAGAUAAGUGUCACAUCCUCUUGGCUCAAGUUGCCUCCAUGAGCGUAAUACCAAUUUUUUGAUCGAUCGGACCAGUUAAUAGUUGCUCGUACGAUACCUCGAUCAAAUAGUUCUUGUUCCAUCUUGCGCCAUUUUGGAAUUGCAGUGAUGUAACCACCUCACCCUAGACAAUGAUGGUACUCCUUUCUAGCAUUGGCAACGUCGAUGCGAACCUUAUUCGUACUGCCUUCGCUCAUCUUGUAUUCGACAAAUGAGUUCCAACGGUCCCUUAACUUUGGCCACUCAUUGAAAUCUGGUGUUCGGCUUUUCUUGAUAGAGUUGGCAUCCAGAUUCUUCUUGAAUGUGUGGAAUCGGGUUGCCAUCUUCUUCAAUGUCCACUCUUUCACAUAUUUUUCUUCGACACCUUCCGGAAGUGUGACGUGUUUCUUGAUAUCUACCCACAACAUAUCCUUUUGUGUCUUCAGGAGCAGUAUGGAUCAUCUUGUCUACCUUUCCCUUCUCUAAUAUUGAUGGGCACGUUGUCCCUUAUGAUAGCCCUGAUUUGACUCACAAACUUUCUAGUCACAUGUUCGGGAGCAAUUGGCUUGCCCUCUUGUGUCACUUCCGUGAUGUGAAGCCUUUCCUCCAUUAUGUUUGUACAACCUUGGGGCUUAUUUCACUUCAUCGAUCCAGAGGGCUUAAAGUUCAAGAUUCAUUAAUUAGUACAUAGUAAUAAUGAAUAUAAAAUUAUAGAUGCGGUAAAACGAUGAAAAUAAUAUAUACCUCGCCGGAACCUUCCGGCACAGCAACAUUUUGUUCCGUGUUGUCAUCAACGCAGAGCUCGGGCUGAUCAUUGCCAUCACCGAACAUGUUGAGGAACAUGUUCGCCUGGUUACCCUCAUCCCCGUUGUACGUUAUUAGAACGUUGGAAUCACUAUCACCAGCAAUAAUCUACUCCAUUAAGUACCUUGCAUCCUCUUCGUUUUCCAUCUCAACUAGUUUAAACACACAUGAAAUCAUAGAUACAUUAAAUUAAAAAUUGUAUCAAGUAGUACAAUUAAUGUAUAAACAUUAAAUCAUAGAACAACCAUGAAAUAAAAGAAACUAUUUGAAAUAUACACAUGAAACCAUACAUUAAAUUAUAUAUACAACACCUCUACCAAAUUUAUUACAUGAAAUUAAAUAUUAAAAAAAUCACACAAUUAUAUACAACACCUCUACUUGUACAUCAUCAAAAAAAUAUUAUUAAAUUAUAUAUACAACACUUCUACUAAAUUUCUACUAAAUUAUACUAAUUUUAUAAGCAUUUCUACAAAUUUAUACUAAUUUUCUAAUCAUUUAUACUAAAUUAUACUACUGUACACUAAAUUAUACUAAAUGUAUACUAAUGUGUACUAAAUUGUACUAAUUUAUAUUAAAUCAUACUAAUUUUCCAAGUAUUAUACUAAUUUAUACUAAAUGCUACUAAUUUUCUAAGUAUUAUAUUAAUAUUUACUAAUUGAAAUAGUAAAAAAAGGAGCCAUGCGUCAGUACCUCGGCGGUACGGGCGCGGUGGUGGUGGGGGGGGGGUGGCGCCAGCCCGUAUAGUCCGGUGAGGAGAUCAACGGCGGGCGACAGUGGGGCAGGACGACAGCGAGGCGGGCGAUGACGAGGUGGCGGAGACGGGCGACGGCAUGGUGGGCGACGAUGACCGGUGAUGGCAUGGCCGGGUGGAGGACGGCGGGGCGGGCGACAAUGGUGCGGGUGGAGGACGGUGGCCGAGGCGGGCGACAGUGGGUGACGACGGGGCCACCAAGACGAGAGAUGAGCGGAUGGCGAUGGCGGCGGAUUGAAGUGUGGGAGACGAGCAAGCAACGUGUUUUAACCCUCCCCCCACCCCUUUAGUCUCAGUUGCAAAGGCCACCUGGGACUAAAGGCCCCCUUUAGUCCCGGUUGCAAUUUACAACUAGGAGUAAAGGGUGCAUUUUCAUCGCUGGAGCUGAAAAUGCACCCUUUACUCCCAGUUGUAAAUUGCAACCGGGACUAAAGGGGCCCUUUAGUCCUGAGUUGACUUUUCAACUUGGACUAAAGGCCCUUUAGUAGGAUUUUUCAUUUCCCGCAUGUUUUGCAAUUACAAUUUAUAUAUGUUUUUCAUUGGUUUGUUAAAGAAAAAAUAAAAACUUUACAUUUUUUGAAUAUGCAAAAAUAUAUUAAAUUAGCCAGUAUAUUUAAAAUAAGUUUGAAUAAGUCAUUAGUUCUAUAGUAGUUGUUUAAGUUUAUAAAAUAAUUAUUUUAAUGCAUCAUUAUAAUCAACAAACUAUUCAAUUAAAUAAUUUCAAAAAAUGCAAUUGAUGCAUGUGGUUAAGUUAAUAUUGUUUAUAUUGAUCAAAUAAAUAUUGACCUCAACUAAUUUAAACACACAUGAAAUCAUAUAUACAUUAAAUUCAAAAUUGUAUCAAGUAGUACAAUUAGUGUAUAAACAUGAAAUCAUAGAACGUUACAAUAUAAUUCACCAUAGAGCAUUAUAAUAUAAUUAUAUGUACAUGGAAUCAUAUAUACAAUUAAUGUUAAGUUAACAUUGUUUAUAUUGAUCAAAUAAAUAUUCACCAUAGAGCAUUGCAAUAUAAUUGAAAGGUUCUGAUGGCCAUAGAGCAUUACAUAAAGGUGAACCAUAUUUAGUGCAUUACAAUGUAACAUUUAAAAACUUCUUCUUGAUGAAAGUUCCUUAGUCAUGAUCGCAGCGUAAGUACGGAGCCUCUUCUUCGGCUAAGAUGAUGCUUGGGUCAACUUCGACAGCGAUUGGAGGCAUGCCAUCAAACAGAUCAUAAUCAUCUAACUGGUGUGUUUUGUCCUCGACUCCCACGAUUUUUCUUUUACCUGGAAGAAUAUGUGGCGCUUUGGCUCCUAUGGUUUUUCUUUAUCUUCUGAAAUUUUUCUUGGGUUUGCUAGACAUGUCCUUCACAUAGAAAACCUGGUGCACAUCAUUGGCAAGGACGAAUGGUUCAUCAUUAUAUCCAGUCUUGGUUGGGUUCACUAUUGUCAUUCUAUACUAAUCUUUGGUUAUGCCACCUCCAGUUAGCUUGACCCAUUGGCAACAAAAUAAAGGGAUGUUCAGCGAUCUGUAUUCGAGUUCCCAGAUUUCCUCUAUGAAACCAUAAUAUGAGUCCUUGCUCCUGUUGUUGUCUAUGACAUCUAUGCGAACACCACUAUUCUAGUUGGUCCUUUUCUGGUCUUGGGCUCUCGUGUAAAAUAUACGUAUAACCAUUUAUCUCGUAACUUUGGAAUUUCACGAUUCUGCUAGAAGGUCCCCUAGCUAACCAAGCGAGUUGUUCAUGAAUCGCAGAGUAACCCAUAAGGUGUUGACGCAACCAAGAGGGAAAAAUAUCCAUGUGAUGACAUAUAAUUCAGGCAUCGGAUUUUGUUGGGUAUUAGGAAAAUAGAAUCUGCUUGUGUUCCUCGAUAUACGAAGCCACAAAGGAUGAUUGUUGCAGAACAGUGAAGUGUGCUUUGUGGAACAAAUUAAUAUCAUUGCUCAAACUUUAUUUCCUUCCAAGUGUCCCCGUUCCUCGUAGCCUCCCCUCGUGGCAUGAUGAUGGAACCCCAAUCAAAUUAAUUGAGUCAAUAAAAUCAACACAAACCUAAUGACCUUCUCUAUUCCAUAUCCCUUGGCGAUGCUUCCUUCUGGAUGGGCACGAUUAUGAACAUAGUUUUUUAGGACUGACAUGAACCUCUCGGAAGGCCACAUAUUGUGCAGGAAUACUGGACCGAGAAUAGUAAUCUCUUUGAUUAGGUGAACCAAGAGGUGCAUCAUAAUAUUGAAGAAGGAUGGUGAAAAUACCAACUCAAAGCUGACAAAAUCGCAUUACUAGCUUGGUUGGAGAAGGAUGGUGAACCAAGAGGUGCAUCCUUUUGUAACUUUACUAGCUUGGUUGGAUUGAUUGCCUUCUGCGAAAUCGCAUUCAGAAACAUGCAUAGUUUUACAAGCACCAUUCGUACAUUUUCUGGUAGAAUACCCCUCACUGCAACCGGAAGCAACUGGGUCAUCAACAUGUGGCAGUCAUGGGCUUUGUGAUUUGUGAACUUCUUUUGUUUCAUAUUUAUUAUUCCCUUUAUAUUCGAGGACUACCCAUACAGAACCUUGAUACUAUUCAUGCAUUCAAAUAUGCUAUCCUUCUCUUACUUGCUGAGAGUGUAACUGGCACACACAAUAGCCCAUCCAGACAAACGAUCUAUUCACUGAGCAUGGUCCAUAGUGGCAAGCCAAAACCAACCAAAAGCUGCUAGGUCAAGGUCAGUGAAUAGAUCUUUGCCUGAAGAGGAUAUUGGGCCAGCAUACUUCUAUUAUGAGAAUUAGGCUCCAAAAGGGGUUUGGAAUACUAUCUCAAAAUUAUUUUAUGAUAUUCAGCCUGAGUUUGUGGACUCGAAGCUCCUCUGUUCUACCAUUAUUUUCUGGUACUGGAGGAGCGAAGGUGACUCUCCAUAGACUUCGGAGAAGAUUGAGUUAUGUGCAGAGAAUAGUGAAAAGCACAUUAUGCCAUGUGCAGACACUGUUCUCUCUAGGAUUGGAGGAACGGAGGUGGUACAUCCAUUGCCAGUCCAUCUGCAUCGUAUUACGUGAAAAAUGAGCAUAGAGUUUUGUAUUACAUUAAGAACUUGAUCAAUAUUAGGUAGGGGAAAAAAUAGAGUAAGUGUAUUUAUAAUAUUUAGUUCUUGCACUAAAUAUGAGAUAAAUAAAUCAUUAGUCAAAGAAAUACAAUUAUUAUUAAAUUACAGUGAUAUGAAAAAUUGUAGCAAUGACCAAAUCCUACUUUCUUACAUCUACAAUUUAUUUACCUUAAUUUUAUUGCAAUAACUAAAUAUUACAAACACAUUUACUCUAUUUUUUUCCCAUACCUAUGAUUGAUCAAGUUUUUUUUAACUAAUAUGAAUCAUAUAUAACAAAAAAAUUAUCUAGCAAAUUGUAGCUCAAAAAUAUGUAUAAAUAAAAAUCCUCUCCAUUCUCACUCAUUCUAAAAAAACUCAUUUUUCUCCCUCUCUAAAGCAUAAAAUAAAGCAUAAUAACAAUAAAUGAAGGGAGGAUGAAGUAGCUAACUUUGACAAUAUUUUGGAUGAGUGAAGUCCCCACGGAAAUGAGGAAAAAAAUUCGUGCAGCACCUCCCCUAAGGUUGCUUGCUCACCAUGGAGAGGAGGAUGUCUUUGGUGGAGUAGCUUGGGCUUGGGGAGGAAGAAGAGCUCUCGGUCUCGUGAUUUUAAAGGGGAAAUUCUAACUGGAACAAAGGGGGGUCUUUGUCCCCAUUAGAUUUUUCCAACCGGACAAAAGGGGGCAGUCGGUGCGAUAUUUCUAGCUGUUAUAACUAGGACUGAGGGGGGAUUUAGUCAUGGUUGGUCUUUAAAACCGGGACUAAGUCCCGCCUCCCCCCUCCCCCCGCAGCAAUACCUUUUUGGUGGCACAUUUGGAAAAAAGUACAUGGAUGGACGGAUGGACGGUCAGUUCUCGAUUGGGAUCAAUAGUCCAACCAAGAUGCGUGCCACUUGCAGCGUAUCAUCGGAUCCUUUUGCGUACGUUCAGUACUUACUCGCUGACAAGACCUGCUCUAAUUUUUCACAUGCUACCAGUUUACUCCAGCUGACAGACCCUACCGUCACAGCAUGGUCAGCACUUAUUCUGCUGACUGAGUUUGACCAGCAUAAGGACAGUCUGUCCAUUAUCGUGGGACACCAAAGGAUAAAUACCCGUGCCUAGCUCGCCCUCUCCCAACACAAACAGCCUAUCCGCAGACUGCAGACACUACUACUAUGGAUAUCAGCGCAAGCAGAGGCUUGGUGGAGCUGUGUGCAUCGCCUUUCUCCUCCUUGUCUCAUCGUUCGCUGAUGAAAGCUCCGGAGCCCAUGGUACGUAAACGCCAUACACUCCCUAGAUUCUCGAACACCUGCAAGCGCUUACGAUACAAAUUGUAGCAGAUUCUUGGAGGAAUAUGACAUCAGGAGGGGUCUCCGACGACUAUCCAACGUACGGUCCACCAAUUUACGGCGCAGUGAACAAAAUAAUGGCUAGAGUGAUUCUUGUAAUAUUUUGUUGUUUGUUUUCAUUUCUUUUCUGAAACCUACCUAUUGUUUUGAUUACUUUAAUGUAUAUUAAUUAGUGGGAAUAGCCCCUCCUGUUUCAAUCUAAAGAACACGGCAGACAGCCGAGUUUAUGUUUGUGGAGUAUGUAAGUAAAUAAAAUGACAUGUACACAGCAUGGCGCUUGUUUUGAUACAAAUUUCUAAUAUUUAAAGUCAGCUGAUUCAUCCGAAGAUGAAAAGUUGAUUGCUAAACUGGAAAAAUUAAAGCCCUGAAGUGAUAAAAAAGAUGUCGUUCAUGAGUUGCAAAUUGGGAAAAUUCUUGAGGACUAUCUGUCUACAAAAUCCAAAAAGUCACUAGGGGGGCAAGCAUGUUCUUCUUAAUAAUAAAGGGAGUUGAUUUUGCAAACAAACCAUGCCGAUUUUGCAAAUAGGCUAGGCCCAUUUUUCCAAACAAGAUAGGCUAGUUUUGCGAACCGACCAAGACAUCAAUCAUGGUCAAGGGCAUCCAAAGAUAUUGAAACUUAAACAUCCCAAUAUAAUUUGAUAUAAAGACCAUGAUAAGCACAAGGGUAAGAAGCCGAAGUUCAAUAUCAAAGAACUUCUGGCUAAGUAUAAAAAAGAAAGAGCUCUGAAUUUUAAAUGUUAUAAAGUUUACAUGUUGUACACGUGUACUCCUUUGGUACCUACACAAUUUCAUCAUGUAUUCUGAAUUUUUAAACCAACAAUGCACACCAUUAACCACAAGAAUUACAUGAGAAAUAAGUAAAUUAAUUGUACCAACAAUUUUUGAUAAAUAGCUAAAAUUUGCACCAAUAUUCAAAUUAUAGUAUUCCCAUUCACAAUAAUUUGAUAGAAUAAGGCAGGAGAGUCCAGUUCAUGCUAGAGUUAAAAACGGUUAUCUAUGGCAUAUGGUCAACUCCAUCCAACAAGCUUGUUGGCCGGAUCCUGUGCAAGAACAUUCACAUGAACAAGAUGAAGAAGAUGAAUGGGUUGGUUUAAUUGGACCAGAAGAAGUUAUAUGAGGAUUCAGAUGAACCAAAAGAAGAUGAAUCUAAGCAUUCGGUUUAACCAGAAGAAGAAAAUGAAUGCGAGGAUUCAUAUUCUAAAUAUUAAGAUGACAAAACCUGGUGAGAAGUUCUCUAUAUUGUACUUAAAAAUAAUGGGCACAAAAUGGGUGGAUGAGUAUCUGCAUAUUCUUUUUUGUUGAACACGUUGCAUAAUGGUGAGAAAAAAUAUUGUUUUUCAUGUUAGAUUAUAUUUAUACCAUAACCCUAUAAUAUUCUUUUUUUGUUGAACAUGUUGCAUAAUGGUGAGAAAAAAUAUUUUUUCAUGGUAGAUUAUAUUUAAACCAUAACCUUAAAAUAUAAUCUUAUGUUGAUUUUUCAUUAUGCAAUAAAUAUUCAAUAUAUUAUUACAUAAGAAGCAUAUUGAAAAGGCAUCCUCUGCACAAUAGAUUAUAUUUUAGGGUUUAUGGUUUAAUAUCACCUUGACGCUCGAUGAAUGUACAUUUUUGGUGUUGAUUUUGAACCAAUUCUUAUACUAUCCCGCUACUUGUCACAUAAAAAUAGUCCCAUAUUUAUAUAUGUAUUGUGUUUUGGAUUUAUUGCACAUUUUGAAUGAAAUAGGACACAACAUAAGGUUUUUGUAUGGGCUUGAUAUACACCUGGACAAGGGUUAUAAAGAGUAGCCUAUACGACGAAGAUGAGCAUCUAGAGAGACGAAAAGGUCAUAGGCUGAUGGGCCUAUCUCGAUGCCUACACGAUGAAAACGGUCUUCUGGAGGGUUAAAAAUGUCAUGGGCCGGUGGGCCUAGCACCCAUUGGGCCCAUCGGCCUAGCCUUUUAUCUAGCUCUUGGUCGGGCUUCCAUUUCUGGAGAUUGAAGUCCAUAGAGAUCCUAGGGUUACCAUGUCGACCAUUAAUCAAGAGAUGCCUGCACGCUAGAUAACGAUACCUUCCUGAACAUGCUGCAAUGUUGAGUGCAACAUUUCAAUUAGCCAAACUCAAAUCAUAUAUGGGGCUACAAUUGAUACUUGUCUGUUAACAAUGCUGUUAUUUAUUCUAAUAGGUCUCUACAGGUAUAGCUUGAGAAACACUAAGCUCUGACCCAAUUUCAGAGCUCAGAGGGCAAAUGGCAACACAAAUGGAAGGAGAAGAAUACUGGAGUAACUUGUUGAUGGAGGGCAGCAGUAAACUGUCUUUGGACGACUUCAGUAACCUACAUGUCUGGUUAUAGUUCUCAGAAGCAAGUUUAUUUGCAGUGAUUAUAGGACGUGUGGCAAAAGGAAAAGCGACAAGAGAGGAGGCACCGUUCGGUACUGUUCAUGCAAAAAAAAUCAACCGAUGGUCCCAUGGAUGGAUGAUGCGGCAGAAGUUCGAUUUUUUGCAGCCAAGUUUUUGGGAAGUGUUGGCUUGGGAGGAUUUUUUUCCACACAAUAAUUUUGGGCAAUGUCUCCAAACUAGUUCUAACCUACCUUUUUAGCACCCUUCUCAUGCCGAUUCCACCACACCACCAGCAAAUUUAAGCAGUAGAAGGCCAAAUUGAGAAGCAAUUAACAGAAGCAAAAUCAAGCUGCAAGUAGCAAAUCGAGCGGUUCCACUUGCAAAAUCGAGCUGUGUGGCAUCAGCAGGAGGGGUCCAACGAGCCGUGGCACUUGCAACGAAAUCGGGACUCUUUCGCAGACAAGACAUGUCCCGAAUUUUUCGCAUGCUACCACUUUACUCCAGCUGGCAGAGCCUAGCUACUGUCACACUAUCGAUGGUCAGCACUUAGUCCGCUGACUGAGCUUGACCAGCAUGGACAAGGCUAUCCAGUGCCGUUGGACACCAAAGGACAAGGGACCUGGAAGGAUGAAUGGCCGUGUCUAGGUUGCCCUCCCAACACCAACAGCCCAUCCAGGGCUACCACGAUGCUUACAGAGAGUACGCAGCAACUGCAGACGCUACCACGAUGGCUCCCAGGGCAAGCAGCACAGGCUUAUUGGUGCUCUGCUUCGCCUCUCUCCUACUCCUUGUCCCAUCGUUUGCUGAUGAAAGCUCCGCGCCCAUGGUACGUAAACGCAAUAAUCUCCCUAAAUUCUCGAACACCUGCAAGCGCUUAUGAUACCAAUUAUAGCAGAUGCCGGGAGGAGUAUGACAUCAGGAGGGGUCAUGGAUGACCAUUCUCAUCCGAUAUAUAGUCCACCGGAUUACGGCGCAGUGAAUAAAAUAAUGGCUAGAGGGGUUCUUGUAAUUUUUUGUUGUUUCUUUUCAUUUCUUUUCUGAAACCCUUUGGUUCAUUUGUAUGUAAGUAAAUAAAAUGAUCAGUACUCAGCGUUGCGCUUGUUUUGAUUAUUGUUACAUGGUUACCAUGGAUGCGCGUUGUGCAGCAGGUCCAUCAACUGUAAUCGAUUAACGCAUAUAUUCCUUGCUUCGCAGGCUACAGACACAUUAGACUAUAAUGAAGUGCUUUUGUUAAGUCUUCAUUUUUACCUUAAAUUAAAAACACUGUCGUCCUUCGCGUCUAUGCUCCCUAACUAAUCGGCAACAGCGCUACCCUGCUGCUGGUUUUUGUGUGACCGGAAAACCGCAACCGCAUGGUCUUGUACGGCUUUGCGAUCGAUUUCAACGCCUUCAUUGACACCAUCGCUGCCUACUUCAAGGUCUGGACCAGUCGUGCGCCCUGCUGGGUUGGCACCGAUCCCCUUCCGACCUUGUGUACUCUCCUCUCCCCUCACUAGUAGAGAAAUGACUUUCCAUCCACCCCCUUUUGUCCCGGUUUAAAGUUGGCCCGGGACAAAAGGUUCACCAACCGGGACUAAAACUCGGUCACUGGUGGGGGGCUCACCAACCGGGACCUUUUAUCCCGGUUGCAAAGGCUAGUGGGAAAAAAAGACUCUGAGAGGUAUUUUAUCCCGGUUUGAAACACCAACCGGGAUAAAAGACCCCCCCUUUUAUCCCGGUUGGUAACACCAACCGCGAUAAAAGGGUCAAGAGCCUUUUAUCCCGGUUGGAAACACCAACCGGGAUAAAAGGGGGUCAUUUAUUCCGGUUGGUGUUUCAAACCGGGAUAAAAGGGUCCCCCAACGAGGUCAUUGGAAGGUGGCUGGAAGGGGAUUAAAUCCUCGAACCCUUUUAUCCCGGUUGGAAACACCAACCGGGAUAAAAGACCUCUUUUAUCCCGGUUGGUGUUUCCAACCGGGAUAAAAGGGUCCCCCACGAGUUAAUACAAAAGGAUAGUAUCCCCUACAUAGUCAGAUGUGGUGUGUAGGUGGGAUGGCAAGGAAGCUACGCGCGAGGCUGGAGGUUGUGGGUUCGAAUCCCACGAACCGCGCACGCGCAUAUUUCGCGUGAAAAAUCGCGUGACUUGUGGCUUGCGACGUGCGCGUGCCUCCUGGGAGCUUGGGAAUUUUUUUUUGCAGCGCCGGCCGUGGGUAAUACCAACCGGGAUAAAAGGGGGUCUUUUGUCCCGGUUGAGUGACCCGGGAUAAAAGACCCCCCUUUUGUCCCGGUUGGUUUAUCCCGGAUGCAUUUUCGAGAUCUUUGCACCCUACCAACCGGGAUAAUAGGUGAGUUCUCCACCAGUGCCUGUAAAAUCAGCUCUAGCUGCUCUUUCAACUACCAUCGCCACUGCCAUCCUUGAGGCCGCUGGGCUUCCGGCAGACCACUUAGGUGGCUGGAUGGGUUGGAAAAGGUGGGUUGGGGGCCUGGCGACGCUGCGGCACUUUAGCACAGACCGUCCUGUGCCGCCCAUGGAGAUAACGCCGUCGACCAACACAACAUCAACUACUUGCUUGGAAUAGACAGUAAAACGUUAUCACUGUCAGUUCACAGCUCGCUAUGGAAAAUUGACCAUUUGUCCCGAGAGACUUAGUACUAGUUGUAUUUUGACUGGUACAAAUGUACCAUCCCUUUAGUACCGGUUGGAGGCACAUUAGUACCGGUUGAUACCCCAACCUGGUACUAAUGUGCCACCCCCUUUAGUAGUGGGAGCACCAACCAGCAAUGAUGUGGGCCUUUUAGUACCGGUUGGUGUCUCGAACCGGUACUAGAGUUCCUCCUAUAAAUCUGCCUCCUUCUUCCUUCUGCCCGUGCCAUUCACCACAGCUUGAGCUUCACCCUAACCGUGACGCCAUGAGAGAGGUGCUGCUGGAUUGAAAACCAUUUCUUAGGGAUUUCACUCAUUCAAGUGUUCUAAAGGUUAGAAACUUCAUUCUCCCUUGAUACAUGGUUAGUAUACUAAGUUUUAUACUUUAGAGCUAGAGUAAUUUGUGAUUUUUAUAAUAAAAUACAAUGGAGAAAUUUUUCAAGCUCAUAUUUGUGAUUUUUUUAAAUAUAUGCACCAUUUUGUAUAGGAAAUUGUAGGAAAUAAGUGAAAAUUACAUCAUGUUAAUUUAGCAAUGCAUGAACAGGUAGCUAGUCAUGGGUGAUAAGCAUUUUAGAAUUCAUUAUUCAAGAUUGACCUUUGAUUCAGAAAAGCAUUUAGCUCAACAUGGUUAUAUGACAAUAUCAUCAAGAGCAUAUGCUGCACAAUCACCAACCAAUGCACUAGUUCACAAAUAGCAUAAGGAAAUGCUAAGGAUAUAUAGGAGAAGCUCAUCUAGUGUAAAGUGUACAAAGUAUAAUAUGAUACAAAUACAAUGCAAUGCUAAAAGAGAUAGGAUUUGGCUCAAAAUCAAGAUAGCUCAGGAGGGUUAAACCAACUAGGAAGAGUUCCAUGGCAAAAGAAGAACCGUCAACGAUUCCAAUUGAGUACCAUGGAAGGGAUACGAAUUGAAGGAUUAAAAAUUGAUAUCACUUAAAGAAAAUGAAAUCCAAUUAAAAGAUCAAAUGUGAUACCAAUUAAAAGAUCAAAGGCGGAUAUCAAAAACCAAAGCAAGUUUUGGUUCAAACUCCCCCUCCAAUGAAGUCGAACUCCCCCUAAACCAAAGACACCUAGCAAACAAAAACUAGGAAAAGAAGGGGGCAAAAGAAAAGCACAACGCCAAUCAAAGGGAAAAGAAAAUCCAAAGAAGGAGCAAAAUGCAACCCAAUGACAAAGCAGGCCCAAAACCAAGAUGGAGCUCAAUUCAUGCCACACAAUGCAAUGAUGAUACCAAUGAGAGGAAUUUAAGCAUUGUAACAUGAUUCCAUAUUUAUGAAUAAAUGUUUGGGCAAACAAACAUGUCAAGAAGAUGCAAAUGAUCAUACAAAGAUACUAAGCUAAAAUGAUACCAAAUGAACAACAUGCCAUACCCAAUAUGAAGACUAAUCUAAAGCAUGGCACGAUAUUCAUGUGGAUCAUCCACCAAGAUAUAUUACAAAGCUAGCAUGACAAGAUAUACAUGAAGAUCACACAAGCUAACAUGAAAAGGUGGCUAGCCUACCAUGGUAUAUUCACAGCAUGAUACGAGGGUAACACAUGAAAGUAGUAUACAAGUGAGUAGUAUACAAGAAAGAAAAAACUCACUAUAUAAGUGUAAAAAAGCCUCUUAAGGGCUAUCCAAACGGUGUGGAGAACCAUAAAGUCUUGAUCACUUCAAGCAAAAGAUCAAGCCUACUCGACUCGCCUCCAUCCCGCUUGACUCGACCGACGCUGUCUCCAUCACCGUCCGUGUACUCUUACUCUUCCGUGCAUCAUGCGGAUCGCCCAUGACUCCACCCAGACUCCUUGGGUCCCUCGGUCCAAGGUUACUCGUGUUCACCCUUCACAACCCUAGUUCAUCAGCAUGAACCUUUCGCUUGACCUUCACCUCAUGCUGUCGACCGCCAUGUCGCAUCCUACACCCGCACAUCACAGGCAAAGAGACACAACACACAAACAUAUAGUUUACACAAACACCACAACACAACGCACACAACACAACAUAUCCGGUUAGCCGUUAGCAUAAUCAUGCACAUAUGAAGGGGCAAGAGCUUUGGAGUACGCGGUUCCUCCGCAACUCUACUAGGACAUCUAGGACGUGGAAGAUCACCUCAACCUCAAUGACGGUGGUGCUACAAGGCUACCAUACGCUAGGUACCGGGUGGAGGCUCCACCCGGUACUAAAGGGGGCCCUUUAGUAUCGGAUGGGAACCCCACCCGGUACUAAAGUGCCUCCCGUCCGCCGCUGCCCCCACCCCCGCUACCCAGUCCUUAAUUAUCACUCACCCGGUCCCUCCCCCUCCUCUAUUUGUCUCUCACCCAACUCUUCCCCCCUCCUCUCUCUGUCUCUCUCACACACACUCACCCGCCGGCUCGAUCUCCUCGAUCUGGCUCCCCUACCCUCCCCCCUCCGCUCACCCCUCACCUGCAGUGAGGAGCAGAGGUGGGGCGAGGUGAGGUGGCGGCAGCGGAGGGCGGCGGCGAGGGAGGGCGGCGGGGUGGAGGGUGGGGCGGAGGACGAAGAGAAGCAGCGACAGUGGGCGGCGGAAGCGGCUAGGCGAAGAGCGGAGGGUGGCAGGGUGGAGGGCAGCGGGGCAGGGCAGAGGCGGAGGUGGUGUGGAGAGGUGGAGCGGCGGCGGGGUAGAGGGUGGGGUGGAGGGCAGAGAGCGGCAGCGACGGCAGGUUAUUUCAACUGGUACUAAAGACCCCCCCCUUUAGUACCGAACUACCAGUACUGGUUGUGAAACCAAUACUAAACGUGGAUUCCCUAGUAGUGACCUCAGCAAGCUGAGAAUUCAUGCUUCUUCCUUAGAGAUCUUGUUGGUUCGCAACAUCCCAGUACAUGCCUGUGUACAAUCUUCCACGUGUCUGCCACAAGAAAUAUUAUAAACAAAUUUAAUCUAUUUUUCCCCUACCUAUUAUUGAUCAAGUUCUUUAUCUAAUAUGAAGACCUAUGUCCAUUUCUCACGUAAUACGAUGCAGAUGGAUUAGUAAUGGAUGUAUAACAUGGACAGACGGACCAAGGAGUUUGUUGAUGGCUUGCAUUAUUUUCUCGAAGUGGCCAAAGCCAACAAGCCAGAGAAGGGAUUCAUACGUUGUCCAUGCUUCCAAGGCAAUAACAAGAAGGACUACUUUUCUUGGGUGAAUGUUCAUAACCACUUGUUUAGAUACGGUUUCGUGCCUAACUAUUUGGUUUGGACCAAGAACAGUGAAAGAGGGGUUAUAAUGGAAAACGGUGAAGAAGAGGAUGAGGAUAACAACAUUCCAGAUUGGGUUGCAAGCCAAGCUUUUGCAGAUACUACAAUGGGCGAGGCCGAUGAAGAAGAGUUUGCAGAAGAUGGCCCUAUUGAUGAUCUUGGUCAGGUAUUGCGGGAUGCAUAGAAAGGUUGCGAAACUGAGAAUGAAUCAGAAAAAUUGCAGCGCAUGAUAGAUGAUCACAAAAAAUUAUUGUACCCAAAUUGCAAGUAAGGGCAUUAAAAACUAGGUACCAUACUGGAAAAGUUGCAAUGGAAGGCAAAAAAGGUGUGUUUGAUAAGGCAUUUAAGGGGAUAUUGAAAAUUGUAAAGAACAUUCUUCCCAAGAAUAAUGAAUUUCUGUCCACAACAUAAGAAGCUAAACAAGUUGUUUUCCCUCUGGGAUUGGAGUUUUAGAAGAUACACGCAUACCCUAAUGAUUGUAUCCUCUAUCGUGGUGGUGAAUACGAGAAAUUGGAUGCUUAUCCUAUGUGCGGAGCGCUGCAGUAUAAGAUCAGGCGAAAUGAUCCCGGUGAUGUUGAGGGGCAGCCUCCCAAGAAGAGAGUUCCCGCGAAGGUGAUGUGGUAUUUCCCUGUAAUACCACGCUUGAAGCAAUUGUUCAGAAACAAGGCGAAUGCUAAAUUGAUGCGGCGGCACAAAGAAGAACAUAAGAAAGAUGAGAUGCUGAGACACCCCACGGAUGGGGCUCAGUGGAGAUCAAUUGAUAGAGCAUUUCUGGACUUUGAAAGCGAUGCAAGGAAUAUAAGGUUUGGUUUAAGUACUGAUGGAUUCAAUCCAUUCGGUGAGUUGAGUAGUGGACAUAGUACUUAGCCUGUGACCCUAUGUAUGUUCAAGCUUUCUCCUUGGCUGUGCAUGAAGUGGAAGUUCAUUAUGAUGCCAGUGCUUAUCCAAUGCCCAAAUCAACCUGGCAACGACUUUGACAUCUACCUAAGAUCGCUGGUUGAUGAACUUUUACUGCUCUAGAAGGAAGAAGAUAUACGUGUUUGGGAUGAAGAUAAACAAGAGAGAUUUGACAUGCUAGCAUUGUUGUUCCUAACUAUCAAUGAUUGGCUUGCGCUCAGUAACCUUUCAGGAUAGACAAACAACGGAUAUCGUACAUGCAUCCACUGUUUAGACGACAUAGACAGCAUGUAUUUGCAACACUGUAGGAAGGUUGUGUAUAUGGGCCAUUCUCGAUUUCUUCCUGCUAACCACCCGUAAAGAAAGAAAGGGAUGCUUUCAAAGGGGCGCCAGACCAUCGUAAAAAACCUGCACACCAUAAUGGAAAGCGUGUAUUUGAGAUGAUAAAGGAUGUAAGGGUAGCCUUUGGAAAGGGUCUUGGUAGUGAAUCUGUUCCGAACGACAAUAAUGGACGUGCACCCAUGGGAAGAAGAAGUCUAUAUUUUUGGAGCUACCUUAUUGGGAAAUCCUAGAAGUACGCAACGUAAUAGCCGUGAUGCACCUAAUGAAGAAUCUUUGCAUGAACGUGCUAGCCUUCAUGGGUUGUUAUGGGAAAUCAAAAGAUACAUUAGAAGCACGAUAGGACCUAAAACAUAUGAAGCAACGAGAUGACCUUCAUAUGAAGCACCAACCAAAAUAGUGGUGUUCGUAUAGAUGCCAUAGACAGCAACAGGAGUAAGGACUCGUAUUAUAGUUUCGUAGAGGAGAUCUGGGAACUUGAACACGAACCGCUAAACAUCCCUCUAUUUCAUUGCCAAUGGGUGAAGCUAACUGGAGGUAGCGUAACGAAAGAUAAGUAUGGAAUGAUAAUAGUGGACCUAACCAAGAAUGAAAACAAUGAUGAACCAUUCGUCCUGGACAAUGAUGUGCAUCAUGUUUUCGGUGUGAAGGACAUGUCUAGCAAAUGCAAGAAAAAUUCAGAAGAUAAAGAAAAACCAUGGGAGGUAAAAUGCCACAUAGUUCUUCCAGGUCAAAGAAAAAUCUCGGGAGUCGAGGACAAAAUAGUCUAGUCAGAUGAUUAUGAUCAGUUUGAUGGCAUGCCUCCAUUCGCUGUCGAAGUGUGGCAGAACCGCCCAAAUCAACCUGGCUAAAAGGCACUUAAGUCGCCUGACACGCGAUCAUGCACUUUAAGCAAGUCAACUUGGUCGUCCGUCCGAUUUCAUCCGAUAAACCACUUACACAGGAUCGAGAAGCAUUGCUCACACAAAGGUGAGUAGCACAAAGAUUACAACAUUCCCAUCACAUUAACAUAGUUUAUCAAUUUAUUACAUCAGACUUUUCGAAAUUCAAAAAAGUUUGCAAGGUUCAACCAGACGAAGUAAAACAAGCGGAAGCUAAAUGUCGAUACAUGAUAUCAUGAUGAAGCCGAUCAUGACAUCAAUAAUCCCUGCCCUCGCUGUCCGAGGAGGGAUCCCACUCGACUAUCCAGCCUGGAGGGAGCUGGGUUGGCCAAGUGGUGCCAGCAGCCAAACUAUUGACAUCACCUGAAAAUUUAAGCCACAAUAAGGCUGAGCAACUAAUACUCAGCAAGACUGACCCGACCGGUGAUCAAUACUGUCACCAACUUCUAAACAUGCAAGGCCUUUUUGGCUUUGGGUUUAUUUUGCCAAAAGCACCUAUAGUCGGUCCUUACUUUCAAUGUUUUAGCUCAAGUUCUAUGUUCAUUAACCAGUCUAGAUUAGCAACUUAUACUAAACAAUUAUAGUUUCCCAAGCAAUUAAAGAACAAACAUCCAGAUUAAUAUCAUCAUCAUGUUUCAUCUUUACUAAGUGGAAAAUAGCGAUAAAGCAGUUCCAAACUAUGAGAGGCAGACGAAUCAAUUCGAAUUUAUUAACCAUGCAUGGCGAACCUAAUCUCACGACAUCCGCGCACCACGAAGGGUCGCUUCAUUUGUCAGCCAUCCCCAUCCAUCCCUUAGGCACGUGUCAGAGCCAACUUCCUUUGGCAUGCAAUGCUCCAUAAUCCCGGCCUCUGCCGUACUAUGACCGCACUUGCACCCACAUGAUGCACCAUGGGAACGAUGUUCCAAGGACAGCUGGAGGGUAAGCCACGCCCCAGUUCAAUCAGGUACUAGGCUUCCCUAUCCCAUACUAGGUAUGAGAUUAGUACUUUCAAACACUUGAUCACGAACGUCGACACAUUUCGACCUGAGUUCAUUUUCGUUUAGACAGACAGGGCAAACCACCAAGAACCGAACAUAAGCCCGGCCCCGUCUAUCGUCCUUAUAGUUGUAGCAAGAGUAAACAAACAACUCCUAUAACUCGCGAGUGAUAGGCAAUCACUCGACUUUUACCGAGUCCUAUUUAGCAUUGCAUCUACGCGACUUAUCAUGCUAGUGUUCAGAUCAGAAGGGUACUAAGUUCAUGCAUCUAAGGUGUCAUCCAACUCCUAUAAACGUAAAUGCACAAUCCUAAGCAUCAACAUAUUGCAUAAUUUAAAAUAGGGAAACAUGCACCGGGGCUUGCCUUCAGGAAGGGUUAGCGGUUCUUUGAGGUCUUGAUCUAGCUUAGGCUCUCCUUGCAAGUGAUGAAGCUCCGCGGCGGGUUCUUCCUCCGAUGUGGGGUGGUGCUCGUAUGUUCCAUCGGCGAGAUUUGCUUCUACACGACAUGCACAUGCAGGAGUUUAGUUUCAACUAGGCGUGAACACGAACGAUGCACGGCAUGGAUUACGGUAGAAAGGAAGUUGCCUAUAGGCCACAUUCACCUAAACAAGGUUUUUAACUUCUCUUAACUUCGCAAAGGAAGGUGAGGUUGGGUUUAAACUUGCGGUUGACUUUGAUGGUGAUUGCGUACACAUUUAGAUUCUUGCAACUUAGAGUUUGCAUAAAGAGAGAGGGAGAUUGUGUUUGGGGUGGUUCAAGUGCAUUAGGAGAGUUAUUUACUUCUGAAAAUUUUUACGUACCUCUUCCCUAAAAUUUUUACGUACCUCUUCUCUAGGGUCCUAAACAUUUCUCUGAGCUUCAACACACAGAAACAUUCACCACAGAGUUGGAUUUACCUAUUUAGCAUUUUUCUUCUAUUUACUAUGAUUUAAAAGGCCUAAACAAGGAAUAAAACCAUAAGAUAUUAUUUACAACAGCAAGAUGAGCAAACUUAUUUUGUAAGAAACUAGACAGAACAAGGAUUCCAACAAAAGUGAUUUGGUAUUUUUCUAAUUUUUCCUCGAUUUAAGAUGUAACUUCCAAGUUCCUGUCGAUUUAAAACGAGUUAAAAGAGUCGGAUCGGGGAAAAAUUAGGAUUUGACCCUUAGACUUAAGGAAAAACUGUACAGGGAUCCUCAGAUUUAACAUAAAGAAGUCCUUGAAAUUUAACACAGAUACCCUCGGUCAAAAGAAAAGACUCAAUCGAGCCCUCGGGUGACGCGGACAACACUCGGGCGAGGCGGAUAGCACUCGGGCGAGGCGGACAAGGUCUGGUUGCUUUCGCGGAUGAAUCAGGGUCGGGAAGAGCUGGAAAGGGGUCGGAAGCUCACCUUCGGUCCUACGGACGAGGUCUUGGGGUCGGGUAGAAACAAGCCGGGGCAGAACGAGGAACAAUGGCGUCUUGGGUCGGCGUUGCGAAAACUGGCGGCGGCGAUCCGGUGAGACAGGGGUCUCAGAGGCUCCUUGAGGAGGUCGGCGAGCUCUAGGCGACUAAGGCGAAGCUGACGGUGAAGGAGUCGCUGCAUGGGGCUAGCCGGAGUGGCAGCUCCAAGUGCGGCGGUGAGUGCGGUGGAGAAAAAUAGAGCAGGUAGAGUGGCAAAGGCGGUGAUGGUGAAGGGAACUCCGGUAAGAGGCUGUGGUACCUUUUUUAUAGAUGCGCGGAAGUGUUCGGAGGAAGGAAACGAGCUCGAGUGGGCGAGAGGAUAAGAUCGAGGGAGAAGGAAGUGCUCUGUCGCGGCGGUGAUUGGUUGGCGCCUCUAUUGGUCGGAGAAGCGGAGUUCCGGGGAUAGGAUCCUCCAGGCAUUGGGCAAAGGAGAUAGCGUCUAGCAAGUGCUAUUUUGCCGGGCAUGCGUCUGGUCGCGUCAAGUGCUGGAUUGAGGGUGGCGGCAUGGCCACUGCCUGGCGGUGGUGUGGCAUGCGAGGGGAAGGAAGACGCGGGCGCUGGUUGGGCGGAGCGGCUCGCAUGCAGGGGGAGGGGAACAGCCUUGGCGGCGAUUGGCCAGCACAGCGCUCGCCCCAUCUUGUCGUGGGCGUGGGUAGGAUGACGGUGAGCUCGCCGGUGGAUGGCGGCCAUGUGGCGGGCAGCGCGUGGGCGAACAUGCAUGGAUGCGCUAGUGUCGAGGCGACCUCGGGCAGAAAACCCGACCGGCUUUGGGGACCCUCCACUCACGAUUUUCAAACUGAACGUUCAAAAGACCCUUAAACAAACUUGUAGUACUGUGGUCGUAGUUCAACUUUAUUAAAAGUGUUUGCUCAGAUUUUGAAAGGAUUUAGAGAAAACUUGAGCCAAGGUUUGCCAAAAACAAGAGUUUUCGGACUUGGGCAUUUCAGCCGAGUUGGUGAAAAUUUCAGGAGUUUAGCUAUCCUUGACUCGACUUUAGGGUAGUUUCUGGUUUGAAAAAGACCAAGGUGUUAUUGAAGGAGUUGCUCUUCGGUCAUAGGACUUCAACUUCUAUUAAGGGCUUUUCUCGAGUCUAGUUCAAAAACUUGGAGGAACACCCUCGCCAAGAGGCACACUCUGGACGGUUUUCCAGACUUAGAGCUGGAACGCCCAGAGGGCUGAGUUGACUAUUUUACCCGACUUUGACCAAGAUUUUGAGCAGGUUCGGUUACAAUUUAGACCUAGGUCAGUGUAACAAAGUUGGGAACACACUCAAGGGACUACAACUUUUAUUAAAGGGCUGUCUCGAGGUUAGAUGUGAACUUGUGAGAUAACAGGUUGCAAAGUCGAAGAAAAAAGAGCUUCUUAGGGUCAAAAAGGACAUUUCACCUCUUUUUCUUAGUGACCAAAGACUUGUUUAUGUUUAAUUACACCUAAUUAAGGCAGAGUUGUUACAGCCUACCCCGCUUAAGGGAAUCUCGUCCUGAGAUUCAAGUGCAGAAAGGAACUAGUGUGGUUGGUGCAACGUACCUCCCUAGUCAAAAAGAAAACCGCGGAAGUUAGCGUUGAGAUACUCUUUUGUUUCCCAUGUUGCUUCAUCUUCCGUAUGGUUACUCCACUGAAUUUUGUACAGUUUCACCAUUUGUCUGCGAGUAUGUCUUUCUUUUCGGUCGAGGAUCUUGACAGGAUACUCCUUGUACGCUAAAUUGGGUUCGAUCUCCAAUUCUUCUGUUGGAAGAAUUUCGGUCGGAACUUGAACACACUCCUUGAGUUGCGAGACAUGGAAAACAUCGUGUAUCAUGGCAAUCUUCUCUGGGAGUCUAACUCGGUAUGCUACAGGUCCACAAAUUUCCACAAUCUCAUAUGGACCAAUAUAGCGUGGAGCCAACUUUCCUUUCACUCCAAAUCGCGGUACACCCUUAGUCGAAAAUCUCAAACCUCAAAUUGGAUAGGUCUUCUCCUUCGAUCGGAAUAGCUCUUUUGUCGGGACUUGGCGGCCUUAAGAUUUUCUCGGAUAACUCUCACUUUUUCUUUGGCCUCCAUUACCAAGUCGGGUCCAUAUAUCGUCCGCUCUCCUGGUUGUGACCAACUUAGCGGGGUUCAGCAUCUACGUCCAUACAAAGCUUCAAAAGGUGCCAUUUUUAAGCUGGCUUGGUAGCUAUUGUUGUAUGAGAAUUCUGCUAAUGGCAAACAUUUAUCCCAAUUCUUGUCAUAAUGAAUGGCACAAGCACGUAGCAUAUCUUCUAGUAUCUAGUUGACUCUUUCAGUUUGUCCGUCAGUUUGAGGGUGGUAUGCGGAGCUACGAAUCAGCUUAGUGCCAAGUGAAGACUGCAGCUGCUCCCAAAAGCACGCUACAAACUGACUACCUCGAUCAGAGAUGAUUGUUUUCGGCACACAAGGAAACAAUUCAGUCAAGAUACAACUCUGCAUAUUUCUGUAUAGUGUGGGUAGCGUGUACCGGAAGGAAAUGCGCUGUUUUGGUAAGUCGAUCCACUAUAACCCAUAUGGAAUCAUGCUUGUGAGAGGUAUUGGGCAAUCCAACGAUAAAGUCCAGGCUUAGGUCCUCCCAUUUCCACGAGGGAAUAGGUAAUGGUUGCAAGGUGCCCGCUACCUUCAAGUGGCUUGCUUUAACUCGUUGACACGUAUCACAUUCUGAAACAUAUCAUGCAAUAUCUGGUUUCAUCCCACUCCACCAGAAAUUUUGUCGGAGAUCAUGGUACAUCUUGGUACUACUAGGGUGAAUCAAAAACUUGGAAAGGUGUGCUUCAUCUAUAAUCCGUUUCUUAAGAUCAGGAUCAUUUGGAACAACCAGUCGAUCUUCAUAGUGUACAACUCCCUUCCAAUCUUGUCGGAAGUAUUUAUAUCCCUCAUCUUUGUGUGCAAGCUUUUUCUUGAUAAGUUUUAUCUCUUUAUCCUCUAAUUGCGCUAAAACAAUCUGGUCCUCCAGGGUAGGCUCAAGAGAAAUAUGACUUAAGGUGCCAUGGGGAAUAAUUUCCAAAUUAAGCUUGGUCAUCUCAUGACAUAAGGUUUCAGCAUAGUUGGUUGCCCACAAGCAGUUACAAUGGAUUUUGCGGCUGAGAGCAUCUGCGACUACAUUGGCUUUGCCUGGGUGAUAAUGCACUUCUAAGUCAUAGUCCUUGAUUAACUCUAACCAUCUUCUCUGACGCAUGUUGAGGUCUGCUUGAGUGAAGAUAUAUUUGAGACUCUUGUGAUCCGUAUAGAUAUUGCAACGAGUCCCCAUGAGAUAAUACCUCCACAUUUUUAGAGCGUGAACGACUGCUGCUAACUCAAGAUCAUGGGUAGGAUAGUUCAGCUCAUGUGGUCGUAGCGCUCGCGAGGCAUAGGAAAUUACUUAGCUGUCUUGCAUAAGAACACACCCAAGUCCAGUGCCAGAGGCAUCGCAAUAAACAUCGAACGGCCUAGUGGUGUCUGGCUGAGCUAAAACCGAUGCAGAAGUCAGCAAUUGUCUCAUGGUGUGGAAAGCUUCUUCACAUUUGUCGCUCCACACAAACUUAACUCCUUUCUUCAGCAGUUCAGUCAUUGGCUUAGCUAUUUUUGAGAAGUCAGGAAUGAACCGACGGUAGUAGCCUGCUAAACUGAGAAAACUUCGAAUCUGAUGAACUAAAGUGGGCGGCUUCCAAUCCAUCACUUCUUGAACUUUGCUUGGGUCUACGGCUAUGCCCGUCGUUGGAUAUAGUGUGCCCCAAGAAUUUAACACUAUCUAGCCAGAAGUCACACUUGGAGAACUUGGCAUAGAGUUGGUGAUCUCUUAAGCGUUGAAGCACAGUAUGAAGGUGCUCUGCAUGUUCUUCCUCAUUCUUCGAGUACACCAAGAUAUCGUCGAUGAAUACCAUGACGAAUUUGUCAAGUUCGGGCAUGAACACCGAAUUCAUGAGAUACAUGAAAUAAGCCGGCGCAUUAGUAAGCUCAAACGACAUGACUAGGUACUCAUAAAGUCCAUACCGUGUAGAGAAAGCAGUCUUAGAGAUCUUGCAUGGUCGGAUCUUGAUUUGGUGGUAGCCGAAACAAAGAUCAAUCUUGGAAAAUACUCUAGCUCCAGCUAGCUGAUCGAACAGAACAUCAAUGCGGGGGUGAUGGGUACUUGUUCUUUAUCGUCACCGCAUUGAGAGGUCGGUAGUCCACACGCAUACGGAGACUCUCGUCCUUCUUUUUCAGAAACAAGGCUGGACAACCCCAAGGUGAUGUACUUGGACGAAUAAAACCUUUUUCCAACAGCUCAUGCAACUAAGUUUUCAUUUCUGCCAGCUCGGCGGGUGGCAUCCGGUACGGUCUCUUCAAAAUUUGGGCAGUACCUGGUUGCAACUCAAUAGCAAACUUGAUAUCUCUAUCAGGCAGCAUACCCAAUAAAUCAUUUGGAAACACAUUGGGAUACUCAGACACCACUGGAAUGUCUUCCAAAAGGGCUUCAGUCACAGGAUAGGCGCACAAAGUUUUGCACUCACGGAGGGGUACGUGUACGAUUGAGCUACCAUAUUUGGGUGAUUUUAUAUGGAUUGCUCUGGCAGAGAUGUCUAGUGCUACUCAAAGUCGAGUCAUCCAAUCCAUGCCAAAGAUGAUAUCUAUCCCCUCUAACCCAAGGAUAAGUAGGUCUUCCUUGAGAAGGGUUCUUCCUAAACUGAUAGGUACCUGGCUGGUCAACUGGUGUGAGGCUACUUUCCCACCUGGGGUAGAGAUUAUAUAUGCCCCUUUGGUGUGACAGAAACUAACCCACACUUAGGCCCUGUUUGGCACGGCUCCACUCCUAAACUCCAGCGAUUCCAUCAAAAAAUUCAGCCAAACACCCCAACUCCAAAA
rnacentral:lncRNA from 1 species